AUACUUGUAAACCGGAGGUGGUGGGGGUGGAGACUUGUACUUGUAAGGGUGCUUGGGUGGGGAUAGAGGUGGUGGUGGGGGAGACUUGUACUUGUAGGGAUGCUUGGGUGGUGAUGGUGGUGGUGGUGGUGGAGACUUGUACUUGUAAGGAUGCUUUGGAGGUGAUGGUGGUGGUGGUGGAGACUUGUACUUAUAAGGAUGCUUUGGGGGUGAUGGUGGUGGAGGUGGGGACUUGUACUUGUAAGGGUGCUUGGGUGGUGAUGGUGGUGGAGGUGGUGGGGACUUGUACUUGUAAGGGUGCUUGGGUGGUGAUGGCGGUGGAGGUGGUGGAGACUUAUACUUGUAAACUGGAGAUGGUGGGGGUGGAGACUUGUACUUGUAAGGGUGCUUGGGUGGUGAUGGUGGGGGUGGGGGUGGGGGUGGGGACUUGUACUUGUAGGGGUGUUUGGGUGGUGAUGGUGGUGGUGGUGGUGGGGACUUGUACUUGUAAGGAUGCUUGGGUGGUGAUGGUGUUGGAGGUGGAGGAGACUUGUACUUGUAAGGAUGCUUGGGUGGUGAUGGAGGAGGUGGUGGGGACUUAUACUUGUAAACAGGAGUUGGUGGGGGAGGAGAUUUGUACUUGUAAGGCUUCUUGUGUGGUGGUGGUGGUGGUGGAGAGUAGACCGGAGGAGGCGGUGGUGGAGACUUGUAAUGGUAAGGUGGUGGUGGGUACUUCUUAGGAGGUGGUGGAGGAGAAGAAUAAGUGUAAUCUGCUGAGGUUUCAAAAGGCAAAUUGAGAGACACUGCUAAAACUAAAAGAGUGAGAAAGAGAGAGGUCAUUGAUGACCCCAUUUUCCCCAUACUUCUAAAAAUGGGUUUAAUUUGGUUAUGCUCUUAGCAACCCUCUUCACUCCCUUUAUAUAGACUUUUUUUUUAACCUUAUAAUCAUGAUAAAAGUUUGAAGAUGGACCGAACCUUCAGCAGCAUGUAAAAAAGACAUUACGUUUAGGUUAUUAGCAUGGUAUGAUAUAAUAAUUCUCUAUUCUCUUCCUUGUCGUUUCCCAUAAAUUCAAUUUUCUCUAUUAAAUAUUUAUCAAAUUCAUUUCUCACUCCCUAUUAAUUCUUUAAUAAGUUUAUAGAAUAUGAAUAAUUAAUCAUUAAACUCGAUUUAAUAAAUACUUUAAACAAUUAAUAAUUUAUCUUAUUUUAUGCUUUAAUUAAGGCAUCAAAUCAUAAUCCUAUUUUAUAUUUUGAAAAUUUAUCAUUUUUUAAAGAACUUAAUUGAUUAAAAUGUGAUUCUAAUAUUUGGCAGGAAAAAUUAGUUUACUUUCCUUAGAAUGUAAUAUUCUUUUGAGAGUUAUUUUCUUACUAAUAAUAGAAAGUGAUAAUUCGUGAGAAAAUUACUUUCACAUGUAAAUAAAAAUUAUUAGAACAAAAAAUUAACUUUCUUUUAUUUAUGUUUAGGUACUAAUUAACUUAUUGAGAUAAAGAUAGUUGUAGCUUGCUUUUUCAUGUCAUUUUCUUAUCUUUACAACUUCAAACCAUUAUUCUAGAGUAAGUUUUUUUUUUUUUUUCUAAAUAGUAGAUAAAUAUCUAUAUUUUAUUUUGCUAUAAGAAAAUUAUAUUUUUUAGCAUACAAAACUUAAAGACAACUUGUAGAAUCAAGUAAUUCUAUGAAAAGCAAGCCUAUUCACAUAUAAUACCUAUUACUCUAGCAAUAAUAAUAUUGACAUUGUCUAAAUUUUCUAAUAAAAAAAUUAUAUAAUUUGUAUGUGUUAAAAAUGAAAAAUAUGGCGGUUAUUAAAAAAGAUUUCAUACAUCUAAAUGAAACUACUAAUUUAAAAAUUAGUAUUGAGAUAAUUUCAAGUUAAUAUUGAAUAUACUUGAAUUUGUACAUACAAAGUAAUGAGGGUAAAAAUUUUGUAAAUUGUACAUCUUCACAAUCUUGAGUUAAUAUACAAUUUUUUAAUGUAUUAAUAUAAUGUUUUAGAUCAAGAUGUGAAAAAACAUAACUCAAAUAUUUGUUAAUAAUAAAAAAUUAUUAAUAAAUAUUUAAUUCAAAAUUUAUUAAUAAUAAAAAUUAUUGAAAAAUAUUAAAUACGUUAAUAUUAUUUUUAUAUAAUAAUGAUAAUUUUGUACAGUAAUCUUAUAUUCUCAAUAAGUGUUAAAUGUCUCAAGAUUUUAAUUAAUACUUUUCAGUGGUUACCAAACAUUGUGAAAUAACUUCUUGAACAAUGAUAUUCUUAUCAAUCACAUUCCAUUAGAAAUUUAACAUAGGAAAGCACCAAAACAACCGCUUAAAAAUGAAUGUGCAUGAUUAAAAUCGCGAUAAGUCUUGUUUAUCUAAAAUUUAAAUAUUCAUUUUAUUAUUUAAAAUAUAUUAAUUUUCCAAAAACAAUCAUUAAUAUUUAUAUUUCUAAUUUUAAACAUUCUUUUGUUAAUUAAAUGAUAGUGUAAACGGUUAAACUCAAAUCGAAAGCAUUUUAUCUUAUAGUAGAUUAUAUGACUCAUAUUAUGGUUGAAAGUAAAAUGUAUAAAAUCAAUACAAACAUCAAAUAUUAAACUUGCACUCAAUAGAUUUUAAAAUUUCUAAUUUUACCACUAAUCUAUUUUAAGAUUUUUAAAAAAUCGUACUUUAGAUUAUCUAAUUUAAAUUUUAAAAUUAUUAAAAAUAAAAAAAUUCUUAAUAAAAAAAUUUGUUUCAAAUUUUUAACCUUUUAAUAUAAUUGUUUUAACUGGUUAUCUAAACUAAAUAAAAACUUAUUUAGUAUAAAAAAAAGUGGUAAAUGUGAAAGGAGCACAAAUCACAACUACAAUAUGCUACAUUAGUUUUAUAAUUGGAUUAAUUUAAUCACCGGCAGAGGAAAUGUGUUAGUUCUAGCUACCACCAAUUUAUUUUAAUUCCUUUAAAAAUAUUAGAAAAAAUCAAUUUGAUUUUUAAUAAUAGAUCUAAUUACUUAAAGGAACAUCGGUGAUGUCCACAUGGCAUACAAGGUUAAGCAUAUAAAAAAAGAACAAAAAGAUUAAGUAUCUUUGCAAGAUAGCUUUCUGAAAUAAAUAAAACUUAAAUAAAAACAAUUUUAUUAUCAAAAUAAAAAGAAAAAAGAAAAGAAAUACUAGUGUUUUUAAUUAAAAUAGAGUGAUCUGGGUAGAAUCUUUUACUUAAAUACUGACAUUGACUUUAUAAGCUAUUUUUUAUCAAAAGAAGAAAGAGAAAAGCAUCCGAUUGAAGAUGUGAAUUAUUAAAUUAAAAUUAAUCAUACAUGUAAAAUUUUAUUGUGCUUUUUUCUAGCCCUCCGAAUGACAUUAUGCUUUGAUUACAACAUUCUUGCUCAGAGAUCGGGUUUGAAGAUGAACUCGGAUGCAUUUAGAUUUUUACAAGUAAAUUAAAGGAUGUUAGAACUUGUAUUCCGAUAAACUUAUAAUACAGAAAGCAAGUAAUAUGUGACUGUACAUAAUGGCUAUGAGGCGAGGAUAUGAUAUGAGAAGAUAGAGAUGAGAGAUUGCACUUAAGGGGUUAACACCACUUUCCUUUUUGUGUUUGGUCCCCAAAGCAUCUCUUAUUGGCUGAUGUUGCAAGGCCGUCCCAUAAGUUGGUCUAAAAGUGCUUGAUAGCUAGAAUUAAUAUUGUGGUAUAACAUAUGUCACCACUAGGUUUGAAUAAGGUUACACAGUGAUUUGAUGAAGAUUUAAAAAAGCAUAGAGAUAAUUAUGUUGCAAAUAUUGUAAAAGUAAGAGCUAAAUUGUUUGGCUUUAUUAGAGUUUAGACUCUGUUAGUCUAUUACCAUUCUCUAUUAGUCUGUUACCAUUUUGUUAUAUAGGCUGUAAUAUUGUUAGAAAGCAGUUAGCAGCUGUUAGUCAUAGUAGUUAGUCAUACAAAUAUAAAUUCUAUUCAUGUAUUGUUCAAAGGUAAGCUAAUAAUAUCAGAAGCGAUUUAAUGUAUUCAUUCUACUUUUUUUUUAUUCUUCAUAAUACAGUUGUUAACAUGGUAUCAGUACCCUAAUUUCUUAGAGGUCGCUUCUAUUGUAGAUCCAUGGCCAAUUCCACUGAUUCUACCUCCACUGGUCGUAGCAGUCCCUCGUUCUCGAUUCAUGUUUGGUUCAAUCGUUUCCUCGUCGUCACACUGAGAAGUUAGAUGAAAGAAAUGUUAUGCAAUGCCAACAGCAUAUCCUAUUGAUAAUUGAAGGGUAUGAACUCAUAAGAUUUUUAGAAGGGACGUUACCUACUCCGCCUCGCUUUGUGUCAUCUCCCGAUGGAACCUUGGCUUCGGCUCCCGAUGCAUUCCUGUUUGUUCAGCAAGAUAAGUUACUCGCUCUUUGGUUGCUUUCUACGAUUAGUGCUCCUUUGUUGUCCUCUUUUAUAGCUGCUAAGACACCGUGUGAGGUUUGGAGCACUGUGAAUCACCUCUUUACUGUUUCCACCAGAGCGAAGUUAUCGCGUAUUAAGCAUGAACUCCACUCCAUCAAGAAAGGCAUGAUGACUGUCAAAGAGUAUAUUAUUAAGAUUCAAAAUACCUGCACCUUACUCGAGGCAUCUGGAUUGGUGGUUUCGAAGGCCGAGAAGGUAGAGAUCAUUCUUGCUGGCCUAUCGUCAGAUUAUGAUGUCGUUUUAACACUACCAUAGUUCUCUUCUGAAACUCUUCCGUUACAGAAGAUAGUUGUUGUGCUACUGAAGUUCGAAAGCCGUCAGACUCAUGUCGUGAAUGACAUACCUUUUCAUGCUCAUCUGGUAGAGGCCACUUCGGCGACAUCGGUGGAGGACUCCGUACAUGGUAGCCAUCCUCCUCCUGGUGCUCGUGGGCAUGACUUUCGACUCGGCUUCAGUUCCAGAUCUAUGGUUGCUAUGGACAUCUGGCACAACGCUGUUAUUAUCAUUUCAACCGCGAAUACAGUGGUCUAUCUGCUCUGACCAUGGCGCAGGCUUCGCUUUUGUGCUGGGCACUAUUCGUGUGACAAUGUUUUUGGUGCAACUGGUCUCUUGACCGGCUGGUUUCCAUCAGCUCAUCCUAGUUCAAACCCCUUCGAUGUGCCUGGACAGUGUGCCGAUUCUUCGGUGACGGUACCGGCGCAUUUCCCUUAUGGCUCCUCUUGGGGAGGAUGGCCACAUUUGUAAAACAAUGCCUCCCUUGUGCCAAGUCUACCGAAUGUUAGGGUUUCUAACCUUUUUGCUCCUAAUUUUAACAAUGAGGCAAGCUAAGUGUUUGGGCCCGCUGUUGAACCAGGCUCAAAUAGUGACCAAUCUGGUGGUCCUCACUUGCCGCUGAAGAUGGGCUAACGCAUUGGGCCAUUCGCUGGUGUUCCUAGGCCAACUGCUUCAGGCCAAGAUUUUGGCCUAAAUGGAAUUGGUAGGCCAGCCAGUGCUCGUCCUAGCAUUGGAUAGGGUUCACUUGGGUCAAAUGUCAAUUUUAUUGGACUUGAGGGUUCUUUUGGGUAUAGACAAGAGUUUGGGCCCACCACUGGCAAUGUUUCAGUGCCAAUUAAUAGAUCAUGUGUUCCAUGGCACACAAAAUCGAGGGCACGCGUUAUUGAUUUUGAUUCUUCGCUGUGCGUUGGGUUGCAUCGCUUUACUAAUUUUCACGCAUCCGAUUUUUUUACUACCACUGGGUCUAAUGCCAAUACAACUCCAUAUAGGUCUAAUUUUGAUAAUGGUAAUUCUUACAUUCCUAUGCCUAUAGGGACCUCAUCAUGGUGUCUUGAUUUAGGGGCUACGCAUCAUGUCUGUUGAGAAGUCUCUGCCUUGAAUAAGUCUACGCCAUACUCAAGUACAUCUCCUUUCUUCACGGAUGAUGGUAUUCCUACAAAAAUAUCGUAUGUUCGGAAUCUUAUCUUGUCUAUGAAAACCAAAUUGCUUCAUUUGUCUAAUGUUUUGUGUGUGCCAAAUAUACGGAAGAAUUUGCUAUUUGUUUCUCAGUUUGCUAAUGACAAUAACGUGUUCUUUAAAUAUCACCUGUCUUAUUGUGUUAUUAAAGACAUCCAGACUCAUGAAAUUUUACUACGGGGCUACACUCGUGAUGGGCUCUAUUAUUUUUCGUCGGUUACUCUUGCUCUGUUUGUCGUUGUUCCUUUUUUCAUAGCACUGGGAUCUAGAGUCGCAAUGCAUAUGAUGAUUGUUUUGCAUUAUGGCAUCACAGGCAUAGUCAUUUGUCUGCCUCGAUUGUUAAACUUGUUCUCGAUAAGUGUCAAGUUGUUUCAAAAUAAAAUGUGCCUUGAAAAUAUUUGUAUUGCAUGUCAAAACGGGAAGUCUCACAAACUGCCUUUUUCAAGUUCUACUACUGAAUAUACAAAUUUGUUUGAUUUGGUUGUCUCUAACUUAUGGGGACCAACGUCUGUUGUCUGUAGAAAUAAUUUAUAUUAUGUUUUGUUUAUCGAGAUGUGUAGUUGAUAAACCGUAAUUUAUACAUAUUUUUAUCCUAUGUUUGGCACAUUUAUAGAUGAUUUAUCCUUAGAUUUGGUGAAUUCGAUGCUCCUAAUCCUUUAAUUUCAUAUUUUAUACUUAGGAGAGCAUAGGAGGGCAAAAAGAGCGAGAAACGGGCCGAAAACGGAAAAAAUAGACCCACAUGGGAAAUCAACAUGGCCUGGACUUCCUCACACUGGUAAGCCACACGGCCGUGUCCAUUUGGCAGGAUCGAAGCAAGACUUACACGAGUAGACUACACGCCCGUGCCUUUUUAAUAGCCUUGACCACUGUCUGGAGCAAUCGCGCACGGGCAUGUCCCUGUCGAGCCCAAGUAUAGUCUUAUUCGGAAAAGGUCUAUUUUAAGGGCUCUUAGGCAUUCUAAAGCUUAUUUAAUCACCUGAGAAGGCACUUAAAAGGGGGGACACGGAGUAGGAAGCAAGGAAUUACUCGAAGAAAGCCGAUUGAUCCAUCUCAGAAGCCUGAUUAUUCAUCAAGACUGAAAAUCUCCCUUCAAUUACCAUUCAGGAGUUUUGGGUUUUCUUUAUGUUUUGUAUUCAUUAUUCUUCUGAGAUGUUUUCUUUUAUAAUUAUGAUUUAAACCCUCUAAAUACCUAAGGGGAAUGAAACCUAAACGGAUCUUGUUAUUAUUAUCUGAAUUAUAUGAUAAAUAUUUGACUUGUUUUUAAUUAUAUGUUCUUAAUUCUUGUCUUAAUAUUCCAGGAUAUUGAUUCAAGUUAAUGCGCUUAUUCAGAGGAGCAAAAGUCCCUGUCUAAGAGUAAAUUUGUCAUAAUUAAACAGAGUUGAUUGCACACCUAAAGAUAGGGUAACAAGAUUUUGCCGAAUUAGGGUGAAACCUAAUAAGGAGAUCCAUAGAUCGAGUUAAUGCAACACUAGGGCGUUAAAUAGAAAGAGAUUUCAAUUAAUCAACCUAGGGUUAGAUGUUAUUAGUCUUGAGAGAGAUAAUAAUAUAACUUAGGGAUUUGUACGGAUCAUGUCAAAUGGAUAAAUCGACUGAUUCAGAGUCAAAUAACAAGUGAAGUCUAGGUGGAUUUUUCCUUGGGUAUUGUCCUAAUCAAGCGAAUUUUCUAAAAGUAUUUUCCCCAAUUUUUCAAGCGAAUUUUCUAAAAGUAUUUUCCCCAAUUUUCUUUCUCUGCACCCUUAGUUUAGUUAAUUAGUUUUAAUAAACAAAUCCUUUAAUUUUUAGGUUAGAUAAUAAAAAGAAAGUGAUUACUAGUACUCUUGGUUCCUUUGGGUUCGACAAUUCGGUCUUGCUAAAGCUAUAUUACUGUUCGAUAGGUACACUUGUCUUUAUCGUGAUAAUAGUUGGUUUCAAUAACGAUCAUUUCUAAAUUAUUUAAAACUUAUCGCAAGUAUCAUGAAUCAAGUUUUUGGCGCCGUUUCCGGGGAACUAAGAUAUUAGGAACACUUGAUUUUUAUUACUUUAGCCAUUUUUCUUUAUUUUUACUUUAAAUUUUUAUUUUCUUUUCUAAUUUUUCUUUUAUUUGUUCCUGACAGGUUUUUAUAGUUUAUGAUUAGAAGAAACCCGUCGGGACCAUUACUGUUUGAUAGUGAGAUCGAUCGCACAGUUCACAGAAACCAAAGAAAAAUAAGACGAAGCUUAAGAUACAAAAAGGAAGAGUAAGACGACGAUACUUCAACCACAAUCGAGAAGAUGGCUGAAAACCAGGAAAAUUUGCUACCUCCUGUGAUUUCUGCUGAUCCAGUAAAUCAGAAUCCUACUCCACGCACUAAGUAUGAUUAUGCUAAACCUACUUUAACAGGAACUGAGUCAAGUAUAGUUAGGCCUGCUAUUGCUGCGAAUAAUUUUGAACUGAAACCUAACACAAUUGAAAUGAUACAGCAAUUUGUUCAGUUUGAUGGUUUGCAGGAUGAGGAUCCAAACAACCACUUGGAAAAUUUUCUAGAGUUUUGCGAUACAUUUAAAAUCAAUGGCGUUUCUACUGAUGCCAUUCGCCUUCAGUUAUUCCCUUUUUCAUUGAGGAACAAAGCUAAACAGUGGUUGAACUCGUUACCACAAGGGUCAAUCACUGCUUGGGAACAAAUGACCGAAAAAUUUUUAUUAAAAUAUUUUUCGUCGACUAAAACAGCCAAAUUACGUAAUGAUAUCUCUUCAUUUAUGCAAAUGAAUAUAGAAACACUCUAUGAUGCAUGGGAGAGAUACAAGGACCUUUUAAGAAGAUGUCCUCACCAUGGGUUACCACUCUGGCUACAGGUUCAAACGUUUCACAAUGGCCUGAAUCCUUCGACUAGACAGAUGAUUGACGCAGCUGUUGGAGGAACUAUCAAUAAUAAGACACCUGAGGAUGCUUAUGAAUUUAUAGAAGAGAUGUCACUAAAUAAUUAUCAAUAGCAAGUCAUGAGGACAAAACCGAUGAAAGCAACCGGGGUUUUUAAUGUUGAUUCGGUCACCAUACUUUCUAAUCAGGUAGAACUUUUGAAUAGAAAAAUUAACAGUUUUUUUGGUUCUUCACAGGUUCACCCAGUAAUGCAAUGCAAUGCAAGUGGGGGAGAAUUGAGCAAUUCAGAAUGCCCACCCUAUGGCCACAACAUGAAAAACAAGCAAUUAAAUUAUAUGGAUAAUAAUCCUCGACCUCAAAAUAAUCCUUAUAGUAACACUUACAAUACAGGAUGGAGGAACCACCCAAAUUUCUCAUGGGGAGGCCAAGGGAAUCAGAGACCACCACCAUUUCCAGGUUUCUAACAGCAACCUUACCAGCAAAAUAAAAAUUUGAACCUUGAGGAAAUGCUAACAAAAUUCAUCUUGGUGUCAGAAACUCGUUUCCAGAAUACCGAGACAGCACUUAAAAAUCAACAAGCGUCGAUCCAAGGGCUCGAAACUCAGAUAGGCCAGCUCGCUAAAUUGAUAUCUGAAUGAACACAAGGUAGCCUACUGAGUAACACUGAAUCUAACCCAAGGGAGCAACUCAAUGCGAUUGCCAUUCAAGAUGAGGAAGGGUUAGUUACAUCUAAACCAGAACCGAGGCAAGAAACUGUGGUAAGUAAAGGUAAAGGUAAGGUAAACCACAUCGAGCAGAAACCGGUAAGUAAAGAGUACAAACCACGAGUGUCAUACCCAAAUGCGACAAAGAAAGACCAUACAGAUGAACAAUUUUGUAAACUCCUUAAACUAUUAAAGAAAUUACACAUUAACUUACCGUUUAUUGAAGCCCUUUCGUAGAUGCCGAACGCAGUCAAGUUUUUAAAGGAGCUUUUAGGAAACAAGUGAAAGUUGGAUGAAGCGUCGCAUGUGGAGUUGAACGUAGCUUGCUCAGCUAUUCUACAAAAUAAGCUACCCAACAAAUUAAAAGAUCCAGAGAGUUUUACAAUUCCUUGCUUAAUUGGUAGCUUAGAUGUUAAUAAUACUUUGGCUGAUUUAGGGGCUAGCAUCAAUGUCAUGCCUUACAAAAUGUUUAAGUAACUAGGUCUUGAGAAACCCAAACAAACUAAGAUGAGUAUUCAAUUAACCGAUGAAACAAUUAGAUUUCCUAGGGUUAUUAUUGAAGAUGUACUCAUUAAAAUUGACAAAUUUAUAUUCCCAGUUGAUUUCGUUGUUCUAGACAUAGAGGAGGAUAGUAACGUUCCUUUAAUUUUAGGGAGCCCUUUUUAGCAACUGUUAGAACAAUAAUUGAUGUUGGCACAGGUGAACUCACACUUCGUGUGGGAGACGAAACAAUCACCCUUUAAGCUCGUAAUUCAAGUAACACAUCAAAAAUUGAAGGUGGUUGUAUAAAUCAUACUAUUAAAACUGAUCAUUUGGUGAAACCUUCCUGGCAGGAAACACGUUCAAAGAACACACCUGAGCCAUGUUCGAGUAACGACAAAAGACCUAUCUAUGAAGAAUGAAGGCUACAACUUGAGGAACUAGAUGAAUAGCUGACACAUAAACCGAGGACACACGAUAAACCAAAACCAUGCCAUGACGAGCUCAAUAUUUCACCAAAUCAACUUAAGGUUGGAGACAAAGUACUACUAGAUGCGGUAGACCCUCGUAUUGCUACGUCUGAACCUAACGGAGCAAUCCCUCUUACAGUACUCAACAUUUUCCCAUAUGGUACAGUCGAGGUUAUUCAUCCCAAACUCGGCACUUUUAAGGUAAACAGUACUCGUCUUAAACCUUAUUUUGAUAAAAUUGAUAGCAGGGAUGAGGAGUGUGAACUCCUCACAUCACAAUGACCAUGCAACAGAAAGGUAAGUCGAGCUUAGACUAUAAAUAAGCGUUUUUCGGGAGGCAACCCGAGCAUUAAUGAUGUUAACUUUUUUAAAAUUUUAGUUUUUUACAUCUAAUCACUAACUGAGUCAGUGAAACACAGGUUUUCUAAUCUACACGGCCAAGCACACGGACAUGCCUUAGGCCGUGCUCACACCAUGGGAGGAGACACAGCCGUGCGAUACUGCCGUGUGAAAACAGGGUAAAAUUUUUCCUUAACACGGGAUGUGAUAAGUUGCCACGGCCGUGCGAUGUAGCCGUGGGCGAGUCUUUCAAACCAACACAGGCGUGUGACACACCCGUGUCUAUAAACCAUGGUUGAAACUGAGAAUUUAGCACGAGCAUGUCCUAUCAACCGUGCUCAAGACUGAAAAAAGAACACGGGCGUGGACAUCUAUACACGGGCAUUGGAGAAGAGAAUGAAACAGAACAUGGUCGUGUGACACAGACGUGUGCACCAACACGCCCAAAGAGCACGGGCGUGUGAAGAAUUUCAGACACGCCCAAAUUUGAAAAUUACGAUAAACACGAGCUGAAAUAAGGGCACAUGGGGGUGCCCCACGACCGUGUGCCCCAAAAUCUAUAUAAACCCCUUACUAUUCAUCACCCCCUUCCCCAAAAUCUCUAACCCUAGCCGCUGCAACUUCACAUGCCCUACCUGCCACGCCCGUGCACCGUCCACAGCACCACCUUUGACAACCCAAAGCUCCUCCCUCUUACGUUUGUACAUUUUUUUCCUUCUAUUCUCUUCAUUCUUUUACUUAUUUGAUGAUAUUUUAUUUUAUUUUGAGUAAAUAAUCAUAGUUAUAAUGAUAGAAUACUUAUGCUCUUUGUUAAGAAAUUUACCAUUUUAAUUGAUAUAUUUUGCUGCAUUUAUCCACUUUUCUUGUUUCCAUAGAUUUCAUGCUUACCCACACCAUAUUUCAUACUUAUUAAACCCACAUGCAUUCAUUCAAUAGAUAUUUCCAUUAGCAUUACUCUCGUAGUCCUAUUCAUAGUAAUGACUUAAUAUAUCUGAUUGGGUUAUUUUUAGUAUAGUUGUUCUUUAGUACAUGACUUCUAUGAAGUAUCUCUAUUAGUUUUACCAUGCAUAUUUUCUAUGCUAUUGCUGGGGAGUAAUUUUAUUUUUUAUUUUUUCUUGCCAUUGUAGGUAUACUAUCUCAACCUUACGUGGUAAGGAGACCGCCAUCCCCUCUUCGAAGAAAAGGAAAGGAGCAACGUCAUCCUCAGGUCCUACCGCUGAGAUCCGUUACCCUUUCCUCCAGUUUCCCUUUGGACCCCAGGAGGAACUAUUUCAGAUAUUACGGGUCCGACCCUUAGGUGUAGGCCACUGCAUUGACUGGGCUGCACUUAAAAAAAUUCAAAUGGCUGACGUGGUCCAAGCCCUCCUGACGACUACCCGUGGAGGCUUUUCUUUGAGAUCAUCGAGCCGAUGUACCACGAGCUCACAAUGGAACUCUACUCGACCUUCCAUCUUCAAGUCGCCAUGAUAAACUGCGACGAUCCUAGAACGGUCCAAUUCCACCUCAGUGGUCUAGUGCGCCAGUUGAGCGUACCGAAGUUCAGAAUUGCACUAGGGCUGUAUAUGGAAGAGUUCAUGGAUGACAACGAACUUGACACCCUCUAUUGCCACAUCCACUACUCUCUCUCCAAAUGCUGGAAGGACUUUGUCCCUGCCUCGGCCACCUAUGAUCCUAACUACUCUAAGGCAUCAGCCCUCACCCCAUCCCUGUGAUACCUACACGCCAUCUUAGCCCACACUCUGACAGGGCGGCGAGAGAGCACCGGCAUCAUCAACACUCACGACGCCUACUUUUUAUAGAGCAUGGCAAACGGGCACGUCUUCGACCUUGCCUAUUUCAUUGCUCUCGCCAUCCGCCAUCAGACGGAGCGGCAUAGGAGAGGAGUUAUCACCAUUAGCCACUAUGUGACUCGACUGGCACGGCACUUCGGGCUCCUCAACACAGCAGCAUAAUCAUCCUCACUCACUCUCAUUGGUCAUAUGUCCCCUCAAGGCAUCUCGAGUAUGCUACAUAUGAGGAUGCUCGAGAAACGACGUGGAACUUACCCUCCUCAGUACCGCCUCGUCCAGUCCACUAAAGAGGAGAACCCAUAAGACAUUACUGAUGAUGUCCCUCCACGUCAUGAGGACCCACCGUCUCAACCAUCACCCAUCCAUCGUCCAGUUCAUGCGGUGGCUUCAUACUCUGAUAUCUCUAAGCACCUUACUCGAUUUAAGCAGCAGUGUUUUCAGUGCUUUGAUCACAUUGAUGCUACUCUUCAUCAGAUUUGUCAGCACCUUCACAUCUCAUCGCCACCACCACCUCGCGAACCAUCCGGCGAUGCUGAUGUUUAAAGACUUUUUAUUUUUUAUUUUUAUUUCCACUUUUAUCUUUAUUUAUCUUCUUUAAGUAGUUUUUAUUUUAUUUUCCUUUAAUAUUAUUUCAAUUUUAGGUUUUAUAAUUUUUAUUGAAUAAUUUAUAGUUUUGGCUAUUUUAUUACGAGUAAUUAUGCUUCCUUAUAUUUCCUAAAGAGUUCUUGAUUUUAUCACAGUUAUAAAGAGCUCUAAAGCUCAUCAUCACUUAGGAACUAAAAAAUCACUGGAAAAGGUUCUCCACAACUGUCAAGUCCUGCUCGACCACGACCACAGCUACUACCAGAUAUAAUAUUCUGUUGGCGCAGGACUUAUGGACUAAUGAACCUCUACCACCACCGGAGUAUCCUCCUCCACUCUCAUCAUUGCCUUGGCUGAUUAUUCUCCAUAACUCCAAUUGAAGGAGUUCAUUCAUCAUUCAGGAAGUUUAACUUCUCUUCUUAUCUUAUGAGUAUUUAUCUAUAUUUUUCAGUAUAUCUAUCUUUGUACAUUGAGGGCAAUAUACAUCUUAAGUGUAGAGGGUCUUUUAUAUCAUUAUCAGAAAAAUCCCUGAAUUUUAUCUUGUUCUCAAAUCAUCUUCUCAUAUCAUUAUUAGAAUAAAAUUUGAUUAAUUUAUGAUUGUUAUUGAUAUGUCUUCAAUUAAAACAUAGGCAUUCAUGUAUUGAUUGUUUAAACUUUAAGGAAUUAGAUAAUCAAGCAGGAUAAGUUGAUUUUUGAGAAUUAAAAAUUUUUAGGUUGUUUCCCCAAGUUUAGGUAUUAUCUCGAGUUAAAAUUCACAGGGUUAACAUCAACAAGCCAUAAUUUCUGUAAGAUCUUGAGCCUUUAGAGCAACUAUUAUUUCUUUCAUGCUCACUGUUAUUAUUGAUAAUGAGUGUGUCAAUAUUGAUUUAUUAUUCUAGAACUUGCUUGAUUAUGCAUGUCAAGACCACACCCUUGAGUUAAUAUGUCAAUAUGAUAAAGGCACCUAGGUUUAACCCACUCACUCCAUAAAAGCAUACCUUCAUAAUUUACCCUUAGUGAACCCCUUUGAGCCUAACAAGCCAUUAAUUGAUUUACCCUCAAUGUUAACCCAUAACACAUUAUUGUUGAAAUCCCCUAAUUUGAUCCCUAUUUUUGUCGAGAUUUGAUUUGAAUUAUUGCAUAGCUAUGUUUUAUUCUUCGUUGCAAUAAUUAGCAAAGUCCUAUGUUAUUUCACUUGUUUAUUUCACUUGUUCCUAAAAAAAAAUACAAUACUUACUUACAUAUUAAUAGUAAUUCGUCAUUUUUGAGCUUAAGUGUUAAUUCCAUAUUCUAAGAAGAAGCUCACUCGUAUUCAACUUAUAAUUAGUUGUUUUUCUAGUUAGGUGAUUUUUUUAAUUCAAUCUCGAUUCUAACCUUUCCUUUUAGCUUGUGACCACACCCCCUAACCAAAGCCACGUUACAACCCUCUAAAGACCUUUUGAUUGAUGUAUCAUCUCAAUAUAUAGUGGUGGAGAUUUGAUUUUCUGCAAGCCUAUGGUAAUAACUUUUCAUAUUGACUAAUGAGUGCUUCAUUUAUUAUCCUUAAACACCUCGAGUGAUUUGAGUGAAUCUUUAGUGAGGAUGUUAAACUCCGUGAUAUUUUGAAUCAAAGGUAAUCACUUAGAUGAGGGGAGACACCUAUGUUUUCGUGAUGAAAUGCUCAACUUGGAAUGUUUGAAACUUUGAUAUUCUUCUAGUUGAAUUCUCCAUGUAUGAUUACUUAUGAUUUAUUUUAAGAUAUUAUUGAUAGAGAUUAUAGAUUGAGAAGAAUUUAUUUUGAUUGUGAGUUGAGGAUUUUGCUUGAGGACAAGCAAACGCUUAAGUGUGAGAGUUUUUGAUAAACCGCAAUUUAUACAUAUUUUUAUCCCAUGCUUAGCACAUUUAUAUAUGAUUUCUCCUUAGAUUUGGUGAAUUUGAUGCACCAAAUCCUUUAAUUUCAUGUUUUAUACUUAGGUGACCAUAGCAGAGUAAAAAGAGCGAGAAACAGGUCGACAACGGAGAAAAAUAGACCCACAUGGGAAAUCGACACGGCCUGGACUUCCUCACACGGGUAAGCCACACGGCCAUGUCCAUUUGGCAGGAUCGGCGUACAAUUUACACAGGUAGACUACAUGCCCACGAUUAUUUAGCAACCUUCACCACGGUUUGGAGCAAUCGCACACGGGCGUGUCACACAGGCGUGUCCCUGUCGAGCCCAAGUAAAGUCCUAUUCGAAAAAGGCCACUUUUGAUGGCUCUUAGGCAUUCUAAAGCCUAUUUAAACACCUGAGGAGGCAGUUAGAACGGGGGGACACAGAGUAGGAAGCAAUGAAUUACUCGAAAAAAGCCGAUUGAUCCAUCUCAGAAGCUGGAUUAUUCAUCAAGACUGAAGAUCUCUCUUCAAUUUCCAUUCAAGAGUUUUGGGUUUUCUUUAUGUUUUGUAUUCAUUAUUCUUCUAAGGGGAAUGAAACUUAAGACGAAUCUUGUUAUUAUUAUCUAAAUUAUAAGAUAAAUAUUUGACUUGUUCUUAAUUAUGUAUUCUUAAUUCUUGUCUUAAUAUUUCAGGAUAUUGAUUCAGGUUAAUGCGCUUAUUCAGAGGAGCAAAAGUCCCUGUCUAAGAGUAAAUUUGUCAUAAUUAAGUGGAGUUGAUUGCACGCCUAGAGAUAGGGUGACAAGAUUUUACCAGAUUAUGGUGAAACCUAAUAAGGGAUCCAUAGAUCGAGUAAAUGCAACACUAGGGCGUUAAUUACAAAGAGAUUUCAAUUAAUCAACCUAGGGUUAGAUGUUAUUAGUCUCGAGAGAGAUAAUAAUAUAACUUAGGGAUUUCUACGAAUCAAGUUAAAUGAACAAAUCGCCUGAUUCAGAGUCAAAUAACAAGUGAAUCUAGGUGGAUUUUUCCUUGGGUAUUGUCUUUAUUAAUCGAAUUUUCUAAAAAGUAUUUUCCCAAUUUUUAGGCUAGAUAAUAAAAAGAAAGUAAUUACUAGUACUCUUGGUUCCUUUGGGUUCGACAAUUCGGUCUUGUUAAAGCUAUACUACUGUUCGAUAGGUACACUUGCCUUCAUCGUGAUAAUAGUUGGUUUUAAGAACGAUCAUUUAUAAAUUAUUUAAAACUUAUCGCAAAUAUCAUAAAUCAGUAGUCGUUUUACAUGGAUUUAUCUCAUUAAAUGAAUGUCUCAGAUGGUUGACUAUUUUUUUCAGUUUCAAAAAAUGGUCAAAACUCAGUUUGGGAAAGAUAUUAAAAAUUUUCAAAGUGAUUGGGGUGGUGAGUUUCGUGCCUUCGCAUCAACUCUUGCUAUUCAUGGGAUACUUCAUCACCUCUCCCGUCCACAUACAUCCGAGCAGAACGGUAUAGCCAAACCAAAACAUCAAGACAUUGUUGAGAUAGGUCUUACUCUCUUGACCCAAGCUAAUAUGCCCAUGGAUUUCUGGGGUUACGUGUUUUGCAGUGUCGUUUAUCUCAUUAAUCGUCCACCUACCUUGGUUUUGAAAGGUCAAUCUCCGUAUUAAGUUCUUCAUGGUAGUGACCCUACAUAUGAUCAUUUACGGGUGUUUGGGUGUUAUUUCUUUCCAUACUUGCGUCUGUUUCUGCAACAGAACUUGGAUUUUUGUUCUCAGCCUUGCACAUUUUUAGGGUAUAGUUCUCAACAUAAAGGCUAUCACUGCCUCACACCAGAUGGUAAGGCCAUUGUCUCUUAUCAUGUUGUGUUUGAUGAACGUCGAUUUCUCUUUUUUUUUAUGUUGCAAACACCGUCCAGUCAGGUCCAUGUAUCUCUACAUAUGUUCCUAUUGCUCAGUCUUCAUCUGCCGCGCCACGGCAUCCUCGCUUGUUCAGCCCAUUAAGUCCUCUUGACUCUUACUCCUAAUUGUAGUUCCAAGACGUCUAUUUCAGUUGACUCUCCGACUGAAUUGGGUUCUACUCAUGAGGUGCACCGGCUCUUCACCUCAUCUCCUGAAUCACGUCAAUGCGACUCUACUACAAUUCCCUCGGUUAUUCCAUCUAUUUUUCUAGAGAAUACUCAUAACAUGAUUACUCGGUCUAAGGCUAGUAUUUCUAAACCCAAAGCUUUCUCUGUUGAAACUGUCGACUAUGAGCCACACACGAUUGAUGAGGCACUCGCUAGUAAGGAAUGGCAAUUAGUUGUCCAAGCUGAGUUUGUUGCUCUAAUGGCUAACUCUACCUGGGAGCUUGUUCCCUUACUUCAUUGUCGAAAAGUGAUUGGGUGUAAGUGGCUUUUUAAAAUAAAAAAAAUCCUGAUGGGGCUAUCACUUGGCACAAGGCUCAGCUGGUAGCAAUGGGUUGUUCUUAGGUACCUGGGUGUGAUUUCAAAGAAACCUUUAGUCUAAUGGUUACACCUACUACUAUUAGAAAAAUAUUGUCUAUUUCUGUUUCCAAUGGGUGAAAACUUCGUCAAAUCGAUGUGAAUAAUACCUUUUAAGAUGGUGAUCUCACUGACGAAGUGUUUAUGCAACAACCUUCAGGCUAUGUUCAGAUUGGUCCAUAUCGUGAGCUAUUGGUGUGUCGUCUGAAAAAGGAGUUGUAUGGAUUACGACAAGCUCCACGUGCCUGGUUUGAUAAAUUGAAACAUUUUUUCUACCAGAUUUGUGUUAUCCAAAUCUGAUGCAUCCCUGUUUGUUCGAGUUACGUACGUAUCCACUAUUUAUGUUCUAAUCUAUGUGGAUGAUAUUACCGUUACUGAAAGUACGACUGACGGUAUAAAUGACUUUAUUCAACAGUUACAUAAUAAGUUUUCCCUUAAAGAUAUGGGAGAUCUUCACUACUUCUUAGGUAUUCAAGUCACUCGGUCAUCCACUAGAAGUCUUCAUUUGUGCCAACGCAAAUACAUCUAGGAUCUGCUUGACAGGAGUUCCUGGGCUAACGUGAAAAGUGUUCACACACUGAUGGUUAGUUCUUUUACAUUGUCUAAAGAUGAGAAAAAUCACCUCGUUGAUCCCACUAAAUAUAGGAGCCUUGCCGGAGCAUUACAAUAUGUGGUCUUAACUCGGCCUAAUAUUGCUUAUGCGGUAAAUCGUGUUUGUCAAUUCAUGCAUAUGCCUACUACGGUACAUUUGGUGGCUUUGAAAAUAAUCUUGCGCUAUUUACGUGGCACUAUUGAUCAUGGGUUAAUUUUUCGUCCGUUCGACAGAUUGUCUUUAGUUGGCUAUGCUGAUUCCAACUGGGGACUGGAUUUUGAUGAUCGUCAGUCAACCAUAGACUAUUGUGUGUAUUUUGGACAUACAUCCAUCUUUUUGUGUUCUAUGAACCAACAAGUUAUUUUUCACUCCACGGCUGAUGCGAAGUAUCGUAGUCUAGCAGUAGCUACCAGUGAUGUUACUUGGUUAGCCUCUCUGUUAACGAAUUUAAAAAUUUGUUCUGCAAAUCCACUUACUAUUUGGUGUGACAAAUCUAGUGCAAUAGUGGUUGCUGCUAAUCCGGUUUUACACUCCAAAUUUAAACAUGGCGAGCUUGAUCUAUUUUUUGUUCGCGAAAAUGUCACUAAUGGUUCUCUCAUUGUUGGCGAAGUUCCGGCAUGUGAUCAGGUUGCUAGUAUUCUCACAAAACCAUUGUCCAUCUCUACUUUUGCUAGGUUUCAUAGUCUGCCUCAAGUCUUACCUCUUGAGAAGCUGGAUGAAGCCGGGUGAAUAUUAGAGUAUAGACUCUAUUAGUCUGUUACCAUUUUGUUAUACAGGCUAGAAUAUUGUUAGUAACCAGUUAGCAGCAAUUAGUCAUAGCAGUUAGUCAUACAAGUAUAAAUUCUAUUUAUGUAUAGUUCAAAGGUAAGCUAAUAAUACCAGAAGAGAUUUAACGUGUUCAUUCUACUUUCUUUGUUAUUCUUCAUAAUACAGUUGUUAACAGGCUUGAUAUCAUCUCUUAGAGAAAACUAGGAGAGAUAAGAGUAAGAGUAUGAGCAAACUAUGGAUAAGGCUCUACCAUAAUACCUUAGAUGCAGUUAAAGUAAGAGUAAGAGCCAACUUGUUUGGCUUGAUAGCAUCCCCUUAUAGAAAAAGCUCUACCGCAUGGCAUUAGAGCAAUAAAAGUAACACUUAAUUUCUUGGUUGAUAGCAUCUCGUAGGGGAAAAAGGUUUACCAUGUGACAUGAAAGUAAUUAAAGUAAGAUUAAGAGCUAACUUGUUUGUCUUAAUCGCAUUGUUUAAGAGAGAUCCAAAUAAAUUUACUCAAAAUAUGUUAAUCAAAUAAUGCAAAUUACAAUGUUUUGUCAAUUUUUCCUUUAAUUGUAACUGGGUUAAAGUUGGUAGUUGUAACUGGUACUAAUAGAAUAGAUUUGGUAGAAAUGGUUGAAAGCAACAUAAGCAAAGAUGACUUUGAUGUCAUUGUAUUGACCACGUGGGAACUAUAGAAUGUAGAGAAUAGUAUGGUGAUUGGCAUCAGAAUGUUGCUAACUUUGAGGACAGUAGAUAAGGAUGGAUCCAAAGGGGCUGUGGGCGGCCCCCUUGAAAUUUUCAAAUUUUUGAAUUUAUAUAUAAAUUAUCAUGUAUUUUAGAUUUGGUGUCCACAUUGUAUAACAUUCACCCCCUUUGCCAAAUUGUAUUUCAUAUCAUUCGCCCCCUUAAACCAUAAGGUUAUACUUUAUAUUAACAAAGUAUUUUCCAUUUUUUUUAAUUAUAUAAAUUUAAUAAUAACAAUAAUAAUAAAAUAUUAAUGUAUGAUAGGCAUUGAAAGACUAAACUUAUAGGUCCAAUUUGGACUUUAAAGCCAAAUUCUAUAAUUAAUUAAUUGAUUUGGCUCAUACCUAUACAUAUUAGGUUAGCGACUUUCUUGUAUUUUGAUUUGUAUGUCUUCUUAAGGAAUUAUCUUCCUUUGGUAAAGUGUUGACACUACCAAGAGAAAAAGAAAGGAUUUUGAUGACGAGACUAAGAGUAUAGAGCAAAAAUAUACAAAUUAUCUUCCUCUUGGCUCCUUAUGCAAAAAACCUCUCGGUAAAUUUUUUGCAUAAAUUAUGUUCUUUAUUUAUUUGACUUAUUUUUUUUAUUUUUUCCUAAUAUAUUUUGUUUAAUAUAUUAUUAAAAUCAUCAGGUUUUUCGAUUAAAUAAUGGUCAAUAAAAAGAUCGAAUCUAUUUUUUUAAAAAAAAGGUGUCAGAAAGCAAUAGUGAUCAACCAGUUCCUUAACCUUCUGUUAUUCGUGAAGAAAAACCAAAUAUUGGAUAUUCCCAAGCUCCUGAAUGAAAUAUUAGGUCUUAUCAAGCCCAAACUUUUGAAUGCGAUAUGGAGUCUUCCCCAGUUCUUAAACUAGAUUGUUACACUCCUUACCUGAUCCGAUCACCAAAUCCAUGUAGAGAGUACCACAACUUAAACCAUAUGAAUUGAAUAAUAAAUAUUUGAAAUUUAUUAAAGUAUCGAGUUCUUGGUGUAACCCUCAGUAUAAUAAUAUGAAACAAUCAAAUCAAUGAUACGCCAGGAACAAACAUUUUUAGGAAAAACACAUGGCGGAAACCUUACAAAAGUUUAUAAGUUUAUAUGAAAUGUAAGAUGAGUUAAUCCCAUACAAUAGUUUCAAGUGCAUUUUUGGCAGUUAAAACAACACUCUAAAACUAUUUGGUGUAGAUGCCAAUGAGACAAUCAUGUGGAAUAAGAUAUAGUAGCAUAAACACAUACAUCACUUACCAUGUCAUUAUAACAUAUACUAACCACAUAAACAAAUUUCUCGAGCUGCGAACGAACAAGUUUACCCAAACAUCUGGGGUUGGUAGAUAGCUUAUCAGAAAAGCCCUCCAAAUCCUAGAGUUCACCAAAACCUGGAGUUCGCCAAAUAGAGAUUCCCAUAGAAUACGCCAAACACACAACCAAAAAACAAAUACUCUACUAACUUACUUAUUUUUUAUUCUUAGCAUAAACAACUAUGCGCCAAAAAGUAACUUGAUACAUUAUCCAUCAGGCGGGUUGUUACAAUUCUCCCUCACUUAGAAAAUUUUGUCCUCAAAAUUCUUAACGGUGAAUAACUGAGGAUAUUGUUCUUUUAUUGAACUCUCUCUUUCCCAAGUGGAUUCUUUUUUAUUGUGAUUUCUCCAUAAUACAUUAACAAAAGGAAUUCUUUUUCUUCUCAACUUUUUUACCUCCCUUGCUAAUGCGAACAGGUUCUUCUUCAUAGGAUAUGUUUGGCUCCUUUUCUAAUGCUUUGACUUGUACCACAUGAUCUGGUUUGGAUUGAUAUUUUCUUAACACGAACACAUUAAUCACAUUGUGUAUCUUUGAUAACUCUAGUGGCAACACCAAUCUGUAUGCCACUGGACCAACCAGUUCCAAAAUCUCAUAUGGUCCUACGAAAUGCAGACUUAAUUUCCCUUUUUAUUCUAACCUUAUGAUAUUCUUCCAAAGAGAAAACUUCAUAAAUACAUUGUCACCCACUUCGAAAGAGAUUUCUUUCCUUUUUAGAUCAACAUAAGCUUUCUGACGAUCUUAAGUUACUUUCAGAUGAUUUCAAAUAAUAGAGACUUUCUCUUCUGUUUCUUGUACUAAAUCAAAACCAACUAUUUUCCUUUCACUGAGUUCCAUCCAACAGGUGGGAGAUCUACGCUUUCUUCCAUACAAAGCUUCAAAUGGUGAUAUUUCUAGAUUGGCGUGAUGACUAUAAUUAUACACAAACUUUGGCAAAGAAAGAUAUCUUUCUCAAUUCAUUCUGAAAUCUAUAAUACAACUUCUGAGCAUGUCUUCCAAAACUUGAAUUACUCUUUCAAAUUGUUCACCUGAUUAGGGAUGAAAGGCAGUACUGAAUCAUAUCUUGGUUCCUAACGAUUCUUGUUGUUGUCUUCAAAAUCUUGAUGUAAACAUUAGGUCUCGAUCUAAAACUACGGAUGUUGGAAUCCCAUGAAGACAUACAACUUCAGAAACGCAGAGCUUAGCCAACUUUUCCAAUGAGUAAUUUGUGCGGGCAAACAAGAAAUAGACUGACUUAGUAAGUCGAUCUACAAUUGCGCAAACUGAAUUCUUCUUUGAAAGGCUGAAAGGGAGAGCCAAAACAAAAUCCAUGGUGAUGUUAUCCCACUUCCACUUAGGUAUCUCUAAAGGGUACAACUUGCCUAAGGGAACCUGAUGUUCUGUUUUAAUCCGCUGACAUGUCAAAGAAAUGGAGAUGUACUCUGUUAUUUCUUUCUUCAUUCCAGGUCACCAAUACAAACUUCUCAAAUUACGAUACAUUUUAUGUAAUGCUCUCAACCCGACUCGAUAUGUCGAGUUUGGAUCUCGGGUAUUACUAUACACAGUACUUAGUAAAAUAUCAAAAUAGCUGACAAAUACUCUUUACUAAAAACAUUUUCUUAUUAUUUUAACCGAAAGAGUAAAUAUUUAAUAACAAGGGUAAAUAUUAGAAAUAAAAUAAAUUAUUACAUCAGACUUGGUACAACUGAUUAUAGUAUAAAAUUUUGUUAAAGACAGACUCUUGGGGAAUAACCCUAAUCUAUGCCACUUUUCCACUAUAUACAUAAUAACCCACUUCAGCACUAUCUUGGCAUACUCCUAGCAUCGUCACUCCUAACGCAUUCUCUACCCAUACACCUAAAAACAACAACAUUAUAAGCUCAAGAGAACUUAGUGAAUUUUAUCCCAAAAAUACCUUGGCGAGUACUUUAAUUAUUUGACUAACAUCUGUGCGCCAUCUAUCUUUUUAAACCACCUUCUUCUGAAUCAGACGGAUACUAUUACAGAUUCGACUUUCACUUAUACGCCAGCUAUCAUACUCUUAACACACUCACUUAUUCUAGAACAGUUUUUCACAUAUAUUAAUCAUUGACAGAUACAUACAUUUUUGGUGAAUACUUACGCAGAUCUAAAUACCAUCAAACUACUAAUCAAAUCAUACAUUGAUUCGAUACCAUACAAACUCCCAUUGAUAAUGUACUACACAAUUUAUUCAAAUGAAUUUUCCACUACUUUGUUACAGGACCCCAGAAAAUCAUCAUAACAAUAACUCAAUUUCCAUAUGAUUUCAAAAAAGGAUAUAAUACAACCCAAAUAUGGCGAAUUCCAGACAACUCAGAUUCAACAACUGUAUAACAUAGACAAAAUCACAUUGAUAAUUUCUUAUGUCCCAAAUAACUAUGAAUACGUCCAUAUUCAAUACUAACAGAUAAUCAUGACGGAUACCCUUCUUAUACAUAUAUGCAUUUCUUUUCUAAAAAUCUCUUAAGACUUACUCAGUUAUAUCACAGAUCUUAUUCAACCUUUAACUUCAGACGUAUCAUAAACCUAUCAGAUCAAUAUCUGUCACAAAGAAAUUGGCAUUUACCCAGAUUUUACAAUAAAGGCAGAUAAUCAUAUUAUAGUAGACAAACUUAACUGAAAGUGCUACAAAGGCCAAACAAAAUAUGCCAUAAAGGCUUCAUACAAAAUCAUGUGUUUACUAUCUCGACGGAUGAUACAUGAUAUUCGUGACAGGUUUUAAAAAUUUAUAAUUAAUCGUUCUUUAAAUUAACUAUUAUCACGAUGAAGGCAAGUGUACCUCUCGAACAGUAAUAUAGCUUUAGCAAGACCGGAUGGUCGAACCCAAAGGAACCAAGAGUACUAGUAAUUGCUUUCUUUUUAUUAUCUAGCCUAAAAAUUAAGGGAUUUAUUUAUCUAAUUAAUUAACUAAACUAAGGGUGCACAGAAAGAAAAUUGGGGAAAAGCUUUUGGGAAAACUCGAUUGAUUAAGACAAUACCCAAGAAAAAAUCCACCUAGACUUCACUUAUUAUUUGACUCUAAAUCAGACGAUUUAUUCAUUUGACUUGAUCCGUAGAAAUCCCUAAGUUAUAUUAUUAUCUCUCUUGAGACUAAUAACGUCUAACCCUAGGCUGAUAAUUGAAAUCUCUUUCUAAUUAACACUCUAGUGUUGCAUUAACUCGAUCUAUGGACUCCCUUAUUAGGUUUCACCCUAAUCCAGUAAAAUCUUGUCACCCUAUCUCUAGGCGUGCAAUCAACUCCGCUUAAUUAUGAAAAAUUUACUCUUAGAUAAGGACUUUUGCUCCUCUAAAUAAGCACAUUAACUUGAAUCAAUAUCUUGGAAUACUAAAACAAGAAUUAAGAACACAUAAUUAAGAACAAGUCAAAUAUUUAUCAUACAAUUCAGAAAAUAAUAACAAGAUCCGUCUUAGGUUUCAUUCCCCUUAGGUAUUUUGAGGUUUUAGUUCAUAAUUAUGAAAGAAAACAUCUCAAAAGAAUAAUGAUAACAAAACAUAAAGAAAACCCAAAACUCCUGAAGGAAAUUGAAGGGAGAUCCUCAGUCUUGACGAUGAAUCCGGCUUUUGAAAUGGAUCAAUCGGCUUUCCUUGAGUAAUUCAUUGCCUCCUACUCCCUAUGUAUCUUCUAAGUGCCUCCUCAGGUGUUUAAAUAGGCUUUAUAAUGUCUAAAAGCCCUCAAGAGUGGCCUUUUCUGAAUAGGACUGAACUUGGGCUCGAUAGGGACACGCCCGUGUGACACGCUCGUGUGCAAUUGCUUCAGACCGUAGUCAAGGCUACUAAAUAGGCAUGGGCGUGUGGUCUACCCGUGUGAGGAAGUCCAGGCCGUGUUGAUUUCUGAUGUUGGUCCAUUUUCUUCAUUUUCAGCCCGUUUCUCGCUCUUUUUACUCUCUUAUGCUCACCAAAGUAUAAAACAUGAAAUUAAAGGAUUAGGAGCAUCGAAUUCACCAAAUCUAAGGAGAAUUCAUCCAAAAAUAUGCUAAGCAUGAGGUAAAAAUAUGUAUAAAUUAUGGUUUAUUAAAUACCCCCACACUUAAGCGUUUGCUUGUCCUCUAGCAAAAUCCUCAACUCAAAAUCAAAAUAAAUUCUUCUUAACUUGUAACCCCUAUCAAUAAUAUCUCAAAAUAAACCAUAAGUAAUCAUGUAUUGAGAAUUCAACUAGAAAAGCAUUAAAGUCUCAAACAUUCCAAGUCGAGCAUUUUAUCACGAAAACAUAGGUGUUUCCCCUCAUCUAAGUGAUUACCUUUGAUUCAAAAUAUCACAAAGUUUUAACAUCCUCACUAAAGAUUCACUCAAAUCACUCGAGGUGUUUAAGGAUAAUAAAUGAAGCACUCAUUAGUCAAUAUGAAAAGUUAUUACCAAAGGCUUGUAUGAAAGUCAAAUCUCCACCACUAUAAAUUGAGAUGAUACAUCAAUCAAAAGGUCUUUAGAGGGUUGUAAAGUGGCUUUUGUUAGGGGGUGUAGUCACAAGCUGAAAGAAAGGUUAGAAUCAAGAUUGAAUUGAAAAAUUACCUAACUAGAAAAAUAACUAGUCAUUACUUGAAUACAUGUAAACUUCUUCUCAAAAUAUGAAAUUGAACACUUAAGCUCGAAAACAACGAAUUACUACUAAUAUAUGUAUGUAUUAUAAUUUUUUUUAAGAACAAGUCAAAUAAUAUAGGUUAAUUAUCAAAAAUAAAACAUAGCUAAGUAAUUUAUUCAAAUUAAAUCUCGACAAAAAUUGGGAUCAACUUGAUUGAGGGGAUUUCAACAGUAAUAGGUUAUAGGUUAAUAUUGAGGGUAAAUCAAUGGAUAGUUUGUUAGGCUCAAAGGGGUUCACUAAGGACAAAUUAUGAAGGUAGGCUUUUGUGGAGUGAGUGGGUUAAACCUAAGUGCCUUUAUCAUCUCGACAUAUUAAAUCAAAUGGUGUGGUCUUGACAUGCAUAAUCAAGCAAGUUCUAGAAUAACAAAUCAAUACUGACGCACUCAUAAUAAAAGUGAGCAUGAAAGAAAUAAAAUAUGAUCUAAAAGCUUAAAAUCUCACAAAAAAUUAUGGCUUUUUGAUGUUGAACCUGUGAAUUUCAACUCAAGAUAAUACCUAAACUUGGGGAAACAACCUAAAAAUUUUAAAUACUCAAAAAUCAACUUAUCAUGUCUGAUUUUCUAAUUCCUUCAAAGUUUAAACGGUCAAUGCAUAAAUACCUAUGUUUUAAUUCAAGACAUAUCAAUAAAAAUCAUAAAUUAAUCAAAAUUCAUUCUAAUAAUGAUAUGAGAAGAUUAUUUGAGAACAAGACAAAAUUUAAGGAUUUUUUUGAUAAUGAUAUAAAGGCCCCCCACACUUAAGAUGUACAUUGCCCUCAAUGUACAAAGUUAGAUUUACAACGAUAUAGAUAUAAGAUCAUAAGAUAGGGAGAGAAGUGAAACUUCCUGAAUAAUGAAUGAACUCCUUGAAUUGGAGUUAUGGAGAAUAAUCGGCAAAGGCAAUGAUAAGAUUGGAGGAGGAUACUUCGGUGGUGGUAGAGGUUGGGUUCCACAACCUCAGUGUCCAGCGAAGAAGUUAUCGUGGUGGUCGAGCAAGACAUUACAGUUAUGGAGAACCUUUUCCAGUGGAGUUUCAAGUUUCUAAGUGAUGGUGAGCUUUGGGGCUCUUAGUAACUGUGAUAAAAUCAAGAACUCUUUAAGAAAUGUAAGGAAGCAUAAUUACACGUAAUGAAAUAGCUGAAACUAUAAAUUAUUCAAUAAAAAUUAUAAAACCUAAAAAUGAAAUAAUAUUAAAGGAAAAUAAAAUAAAAAGUACUUAAAAAUGUAAAUAAAAAUAAAAUAUAAAAAGUUUUUAAACAUCGUCAUCGCUGGAUGGUUCGCAAGGUGGUGGUGGUGAUGAGAUGUGAAGGUGCUGACAAAUCUGAUGUAGAGUAGCAUCAAUGUUAUCAAAGCGCUGAAAACACUAUUGCUCAAAUCAAUAAGGCACUCAGAGAUGUCAGAGUAUGAAAUCGCCGCAUGAACUGGACGAUAGAUGGGUUGUGGCUGAAAUGGUGGGUCCUCAUGACGUGGAGGGACAUCAUUAGUAAUUCCUCCGGGUCCUCCUCCUCGGCUGACUGGAUGAGGCGGUACUGAGCAGAAUCGAUUCCAUGUCAUUUCUCGAUCAUCCUCAUAUGUAGCAUGCUUGAAAUACCCUGUGGGGACAUCUGGCCGAUGAGAGUGAGCGAGAAUGAUUGUGCCACUGUGUUAAAGAGUCCAAAGUGCCGAAUCAAUCGAGUCACAUAGGGGCCAAUAGAGAUGACUCCCUUCCUAUGCCGUUCCGUCUGAUGGCGAAUGGCGAAGGCAAUGAAAUAGGCGAGGUCGAAGAUGUGCCCAUUCGCCAUGCUCCAUAAAAAGUAGGCAUCGUGAGUGUUGACAAUGCCGGUGCUCUCUUGUCUUCCUGUCAGAGUGUGGGCCAAGAGGGCGUGUAGGUACCUCAAGGAUGGAGGGAGAGUUGAUGUUUUGGAACGGUUAGGGUCGUAGGUGGCCGAGGGAGGGACGAGGGCCUCCAGCACUUCGAGUGAGAGUAAUGGAUGUGGCGAUGAAGGAUGUCGAGUUCGUUGUAGUCCAUGAACUCCUCCGUAUACAGCCCUAGUACAAUUUUGAACUCCGGUACGCUCAAUUGGCACACUAAACCACCAAGACGAAACUGGACCGUUGUAGGAUCGUCGAACUCUGUCAUAACGGUUUGGAAGUGAAAGGUCGAAUAGAGUUCCAGUGUGAGCUUAAGGUAUAUCGGCUUGAUGAUCCCAAAGAAGAGCUCCCAUGGAUCAGUCGACAGAAGGGCUCUGACCGCGUCAACCAGUUGGACUUGUUCAAGUGCGGCCCAUUCAAUGCAGCGGCCCACACCUAAGGGUCAGGCCCGAAGUAUCUAAAAGAGUUCUUCCUAAGGUCCUAAGGGAAACUAAAUAAAGGGGUGCCUGAUCUCCACGGUAGGACCCAAGGAUGACACUGCUCAUUUCCUUUUCUUUGAAGCGGGGACAGCGAUUUUCUUACCAUGGUUUGACAUGAUAUCUGCAAUGGCAAGACGAAAAAAAUAAUAAAUAAAAAAGUAAACUUACUCUCCAACAAUAACAUGAAAAAACAUAUGCAAUGCAUGUUAAAACUAAUAGAGAUACUUUAUAGGAGUCAUGUACUAAAGAACAACUACGCUGAAAAAUAACCCAAUCAGAUAUAUUAAGUCAUUACUACGAAUAGGAAUAUGAUAAUAAUGCCUAGUGAAUGAAUGCAUAUGGAAAUGAUGAUAUGGAAAAUAGAAUGAAGUCCAUGGCAACACAAGAAUGGUGGUAUCAUAAUGCAUCAACUAAGAUAGCAAGAAACAAAGAGCAUAAGCAAGGCUAUUAUUAGAACUAUGAAGAUUAACAGUCAAAAUAAAACAAGAAAAAUCGAAUUCAUAAACGAAAUGAAGAGAAAAGAAUGGACAAACGCAAAAGCUUGGUAGAGGGAGGAGCUUGGGCCGUCGUUAGUGGUGUUGUGGUUGGCGCACGGGCGUGGCAGGAAGGCGUGGGCAAGAGUUACGGCGGCUACAGUUAGGGAUUUUGGGGAAGGGGAUGAUGAAUAUAAGGGGUUUAUUCAACUCGUGUUUAUCGCGAUUUUUAAAUUUGGGCACGUCUGAAAUUCGUCCCACGCCGAUGUCCUUUGGGCGUGUUGGUGCACAUGGCCGUGUCGUACGGUCGUGUCCUACUUCGUUCACUUCUCCCACGCUCGUGUGUAUAAGCACACGCCCGUGUUGUUUGAUCAGUCUUGAGCACGGUUGGUGGGCACGGGCGUGUCGCACACUUGUGCUAAAUUCUCAGUUUCAACCACGAUUUCAAGACACGGGCGUGUCACACGCCCGUGUUGAUUUGAAAGACUCACCCACGGCCACGUUACACAGCCGUGGCAACUUAUCACAUCUCGUGUUAAGCAAAAAUUUUUCCCUGUUUCCACACGGUCGUGUCGCAAGGCCGUGUCUCCUCCCGUAGUGUGAGCACGGCCUAAGGCACACCUGUGUGCCUCACCGUGUGAAUUAGAAAACCAGUAUUUCAAUGACUCAGUUAGUGAUUAGAUGUUAAAAACUAAAAUUUUAAAGAAGGUAACACUAUUAGUGCUCGGGUUACCUCGCGAAAAGCAUUUAUUUAUAGUCUAAGCUCGACUUACCUCUCUGUUGCAUAGUCAUGGUAGUGCAAGGAGUUUACACUCCUCAUCCCUGCUAUCAAUUUUAUCAAAAUAAGGUUUUAGACAAGUACUAUUUACCUUAAACGUACCGAAUUUGGGAUGAAUUACCUCGACUGUGCCGUAUGGGAAAAUACUAAGUACCGUAAGAGGGAUUUCUCCAUUAGGUUCAAAGGUGGCAAUCCGAAGGUCUGCUGCAUCUAAUAGUACUUUGUUUCCAACCUUAAGUUGAGUUGGAGAAAUAUUGAGCUCGUCAUGGCAUGGUUUUUUUUAUCGUGUGAUUUCGAUUUCUGUGUCUGCCAUUCAUCUAGUUCCUCAACCUGUAGCCUUGUUCUUCAUAGAUGGGUUCUUUGUCGUUAUUUGAAUGUGGCUCAAGUGUGUUUCUCGAAUGUGUUUCCUGCACAGAGGGUUUCACCACAUGAUCAGUACUGAUAGAAUUUCGAGCUUGAGGAGUAAUUGAUUCAUCACCCAUACGAAGUGUGAGUUUACUUGUGCCAACAUCAAUUAUAGUUUUAGCAGUUGCUAGAAAGGACCGUCUUAAAAUUAAAGGUGCGUCGCUAUCCUCUUCUAUGUCUAGAACAACAAAAUCAAUUGGGAAAAUAAAUUUAUCGAUUUUUACCAAUACAUCUUCAAUGAUACCCCUGGGAAAUCUAAUAGUUUUAUCAGCUAACUGAAUACUCAUCCUAGUUUGUUUAGGUUUCCCAAUACCUAGUUGUUUAAACAUUUUAUAAGGCAUGAAAUUGAUACUAGCCCCUAAAUCAGCCAAAGCGUUAUUAACAUCUAAGCUACCAAUUAAAUAAGGAAUCGUAAAACUCCUUGGAUCUUUCAAUUUGUUGGCCAUGAUGUCUCGUUGAGAGCACCAAAAAUAUCCUAUUCUCUGUAAAAUAGUAAAAAUAACAGUAAAAGGGAAGUAGGGUCGAAUCCUCAGGGACCGGAUUGUACAAAUGCUCGUUUCUUGAAAUCCUGGACAAUUUCUUGGCCAAGAAAACCUGCGUUCCUGAAAAAUAAAAAAAAUAAAAUUAAGAAUCUGGAAAAAAAAAUAGAAUUUAAAGGGAAUUGAAAUUGCGAAAUUAAAUAAAUUGUCGAAAUUAAAAUGAGGAAAAAUAAAUAGAGUUGGGAAAAGAGAAAGUUUCUUAUGUGGCGAGAUUCCAGGCUCCGGUUGUCUCGUUCCGCCUUGGGUUCAAUCCUUGGCCUUUAAGUAACCCUUCCCAACUCAAGUAAGCCAGUUAUAGUGGAAGAGGAUGCCUACGACCACCAGCUCCAAAGAUUAGACUUACGAUUUUUAGGGAACCUGACUCUAACCAGUAAUCUAUGCUAGAUCAACGCUUCUCAAUGGCGAAUCCCAAGUCAUUUUGUCUCUUUGGCUCGCCAACCUUUGACGCAGUAAAUUAACAAACCGACUGUGCAAUCCUUUCAAAACAUACAAAGCGGUCGCCUUUGCAUAUGCUGAAAAGCUUACUUCUUAAGGGCCAUGGACGGAAGCGUCAGCCCGUAGUGCGGAGAAACGAUGAAUACUUGGCGAGAAGGCUAAGUACGGGUUCUAGGCCUCAAAAACCCUUUUUUGGGGAAUAUUGACAACCUUCAGCUAGAUAGGUUUUAAUGGCUCAUGAUAAUGGUGGAAAAGGAAAUAAAUAUAAAAAUAGAAAAUAAAAUUUUAUUCAAAGAAAAUAUGAAGAAACAAAAGCCUAGACUUUUAGGGGGAGAGUGUUUAUAGAAAAAGAUGAACACCCCAAAUAGAGUCACUUCACCCCCUAUUUAUAGUGCUAGGGAGAUAAUCUAAUUUAACUUAAAUUCUAAAAAGAUAAAUACAUUUAAUUAAAGAUAAUUAAAAUAAAAUCCUAAAAUUAAAUAAUCCUAAUAAUUAUCUUAAUAAUAAUUAUUCUAAUAUAAAUAAAAUGGAGUCUUAUAAAAUAAAAUCUCUUCUUUUUGAGUUUUCAGUCCUUGUGUCAUCCAUGCUCGCACUUUUGGAACAAUCUUUUUCCUGUGUCGCAUAUCAGCCCAUUGUGUCUCCAAAUUCGCACUUUUGUCCCUUAAUUUUUCUUUUUGCCUCCAAAUCAGUCCUUUAAAGAUAAAAAGACAUAAAUAGCUAAAAUUAGUAUGAUCAAGCUCAGAAUAAAUAUAUAAUUAGCACAUAAAAACAUGACAUUCUAGAGUGUUAUCAGGCCAGCUUAUUUUGCAGAAUGGCUGAGCAAACUGCAUUCAUCUCCACAUGCGAUGCCUCAUCUAACUUCCGUUUAUUCGCUAAAAGCUCCUUUAAAAAUUUGACUGUGUUCAGCAUCUACGAAAAAGCUUCAAUAAACGGUAAGUUAAUAUGUAAUUUCUUUAAAAUUUUAAGGAAUUUACCGAAUUGUUCGUCUGAGUGGUCUUUCCUUGUCGUAUUUGGGUAUAGUACACGUGGUUUGUACUCUUUACUUACCUGUUUUUGCUCAUUAUGGUCCACCUUACCUCUACCUUUACUUACCACAAUUUCUUGCCUUAGUUCUGGUUGAGGUGCAACUAACCCUUCCUCAUCUUGAAUGGUAAUCGCAUUGAGCUAUUCCCUUGGAUUAGAUUUAGUGUUACUCAACAGGCUACCUUGUGGUCGUUCAGAUACCAAUUUAGCAAGCUGGCUUAUCUGAGUUUUGAGCCCUUGAAUCGACACUUGUUGAUUCUUAAGUGCUUUCUUGGUAUUCUAAAAACAAGUUUCUAACACUGAGAUGAAUUUUGUUAGCAUCUCCUCAAGGUUCAGCUUUUUCUCUUGUUGGUAAGGUGGUUGUUGGAAGCCUGGAGGUGGUGGGGGUCUCUGAUUUCCUUGGCCUCCCCAUGAAAAAUUUGGAUGGUUCCUCCAACCUGCAUUUUAAGUGUUACUAUAAGGAUUAUUUUAAGAUCGAGGAUUAUUACCCAUGUAAUUCAACUGCUCAUUUUCCAUACUGUGGCCAUAAGGUGGGUAUUCUGAAUUGCUUGAUCCACCUCUACUUGCUUCGCACUGCAUUACUAGGUGAACCUGUGAAUAACCAAAUAACCCGUCAAUUUUCUUAUUUAAUAGUUCUACCUGACUAGAGAGCAUCAUGACUAAAUCAACGUUAAAAACGUCAGUUGUUUUAGUCGGCUUUGUCCUCAUUACUUGCCACUGAUAAUUAUUCAGUGAGAUCUCUUCUAUAAAUUCAUAAGCAUCUUCAGAUGUCCUAUUAUUGAUAGUCCCACCAGCGGAUGCAUCGAUAAGUUGCCUUGUUGAGGGGUUUACACCGUUGUAAAACGUCUGAACUUGCUGCCAUAGAGGCAACCCAUGAUGAGGGCACCUUCUCAACAGAUCUUUGUAUCUCUCCCAUGCAUCAUAAAGCGUUUUUAGAUUCAUCUGCAUAAAAGAAGAGAUAUCACUACGUAAUUUAGUCAUUUUAGCCGACGGAAAAUAUUUUAAUAAGAAUUUUUUAUUGUCAUUUGUUCCCAAGUAGUGAUUGACACUCGUGGUAACGAGUUCAACCACUGUUUAGAUUUGUUCCUCAAUGAAAAGGGAAAUAACCGAAGACGAAUGGAAUCAUCAGAAAUGCCAUUAAUUUUAAAUGUGUCGCAAAACUCUAGAAAAUUUGCCAAGUGAUUGUUCCUCAUCCUGCAAACUAUCAAACUAAACAAAUUGUUGUAUCAUUUGAAUUGUGUUAGGUUUUAGUUCAAAAUUAUUUGCAGCAACAGCUGGCCUAACUAUACUUGACUCAGUUCCUCUUAAAGUAGGUUUAGCAUAAUCAUACAUAGUACGCGGAGUAGGAUUCUGAUUAGCAGCAAUCGCAAGAGGUAGCGGAUUUUCCUGAUUUUCAGUCAUCUCCUCAGUUGUGGUGGAAAUAUCGUCCUCUUGCUCUUUCUCUGUGUAUCUUAGGCUUUGCCUUAUUUCUCUUCGAUUUCUGUGAGCUGUGCGAUCGAUCUCACUAUCAAAAAGUAAUGGUCCUGACGGGUUUCUUCUAGUCAUGCACUAUAAAAACUUGCCAUAAGCGAAUAAACGAAAAAUAAGAAUAAGAAAAUAAAAUAAAAAUUCAAAUUGCAACAAAAGUAAAAUGGCUAAAGUAAUAAAAAUUGAGUGUUCCUAAUAUCUUCGUUCCCCGGCAACAGCGCCAAAAACUUGAUACGUGAUAUUCGCGACAGGUUUUAAAAAUUUAUAAUUAAUCAUUCUUGAAACUAACUAUUAUCACGAUGAAGCCAAAUGUACCUAUCGAACAGCAAUAUAGCUUUAGCAAGACCGGAUUGUCAAACCUAAAGGAACCAAGAGUAUUAGUAAUUGCUUUCUUUUUAUUAUCUAGCCUAAAAAUUAAGGGAUUUGUUUAUCUAACUAAUUAACUAAACUAAGGGUGCACAGAAAGAAAAUUGGGGAAAAGCUUUUGGGAAAACUCAAUUGAUUAAGACAAUACCCAAGGAAAAAUCCACCUAGACUUCACUUGUUAUUUGACUCUGAAUCAGACGAUUUAUUCAUUUGACUUGAUCCGUAGAAAUCCCUAAGUUAUAUUAUUAUCUCUCUCGAGACUGAUAACGUCUAACCCUAGGUUGAUUAAUUGAAAUCUCUUUCUAAUUAACACCCUAGUGUUGCAUUAACUCGAUCUAUGGACUCCCUUAUUAGGUUUCACCCUAAUCCGGCAAAAUCUUGUCACCCUAUCUCUAAGCGUGCAAUCAACUCCGCUUAAUUAUGAAAAAUUUACUCUUAGACAGGGACUUUUGCUCCUCUGAAUAAGGGCAUUAACUUGAAUCAAUAUCUUGGAAGAUUAAACCAAGAAUUAAGAACACAUAAUUAAGAAUAAGUCAAAUAUUUAUCAUACAAUUCAGAUAAUAAUAACAAGAUCCGUCUUAGGUUUCAUUCCCCUUAGGUAUUUAGGGGUUUUAGUUCAUAAUUAUGAAAGAAAACAUCUCAAAAGAAAAAUGAUAACAAAAUAUAAAGAAAACCCAAAACUCCUGAAGGAAAUUGAAGGAGAUCCUCAGUCUUGACGAAUAAUCCAGAUUUUGAGAUGGAUCAAUUGGCUUUGCUUGAGUAAUUCAUUGCCUCCUACUCCCUGUGUGUCUUCUAAGUGCCUCCCCAGGUGUUUAAAUAGGCUUUAGAAUGCCUAAAAGCCCUCAAGAGUGGCCUUUUUCGAAUAAUACUGAACUUGGGCUCGACAGGGACACGCUUGUGUGACACGCCCGUGUGCGAUUGCUUCAGACCAUGGUCAAGGCUGUUAAAUAGGCACGGGCGUAUGGUCUAUCUGUGUGAGGAAGUCCAGGCCUUGUUAAUUUCCCAUGUUGGUCUAUUUUCUUCGUUUUCGGCCCAUUUCUUAUGCUCACCUAAGUAUAAAACAUGAAAUUAAAGGAUUAGGAGUAUCGAAUUCACCAAAUCUAAUGAUAAUUCAUCCAAAAAUAUGCUAAGCAUGAGGUAAGAAUAUGUAUAAAUUAUGGUUUAUCAAUGGACUAUCACAGAAGGUGUCAUAGGUUUCUCCAACAUGGGCUUAUACAUAAUUUCAUGUAUUGUGAUCUGCCAUUUCAAAUUAUACAUUAUCGAAGGCUACACCAUAAGCAUAUAUACAGACAUAUCUUGCAAUGGGUCUUAGCCAUAUAGCUUACACACACAUUCAUGUAUUGUAAUCUGCCAAUCCAAUCUUCAUCUUAUUAGAGGCUACACCAUGAGUGUUUCCAAAUCAAAGUAAGAUGUCAUGGGUCUCAACCUUAUAGUUUAUUCUUGUUUUCGUAUCGUGAUCUGCCAGUCUAGUUAGCAAUAUAACUGCCCUACCAGAGGCAUCAUAGAGGAAAAUUUGCUCAGCAUUUACUUCCCUAGAUGAUCACCUUUUUACUAGCUCAUACAUCUCCUACAUCAGACCUUACCUGCAUGCUUACCAAACAUUAUUCUUUUUAAUAGAAUUUAUACAUAUCAUCGUAGCACAUCUUUCAUCUUUGCUAAACUCAUAUUUAUACUAAUUUCUGUAGACAUCAUCAUCACAUAUAUAUAUGCUUCUUGUUUGAACAGUUCAUAUCAAAAAGUCAGGAUAGAGACCCACUUAACUCUCAUCUAUUGCAGUUCAAAGUUCUGGACUCAACCACCCUUCUCAAACCAACAGUAAAAACUGCUUACAAAACAUAGAAUCACCAUUAAAACUCAUUUACAUACAAAUUACCAUCAUCUUAAUCACUUUUCCGCUGCUAAUUAAUAAAUAAAUGUUGAGUAGUAAAUAAAUAAAAAAUUAACUAAGUUUUCAAAAAAAAAAAGUCACUGUGAUGAGAAGAAUAAGUUUUCAAAAACAAAAGUCACCGUGAUGAGAAGAAUGUCAAAAUUAAUUGGUUUUUGUUAACUCAUAUGUUUUUCUAAAAAUAGGUUAAGUUUUCUUCUGAAAUAAACAAAUAUUUUGAAAUGAUUGUUUUAUAAACUCCAAUCAUAGGCCAUCUUAGUGGUCGAUGUAAUCUCCCAAAUUCGGUUCUAACAUCUAGGUUGGGUUGGAGAGGUUACAAUAUAUAUAGAAGGAUUCAUCAAUAAUGGAAACUUGAAUACAAGCAAAGAAAGAAAUCAAUCAAUGUGAAUUACUAACAAGUUCAAAAGCAUAUAUUUGGAUUAUAUUUUGUAAAGUACAAGAAUGUCAAGGAAUUAGACAUUUUGUUUUGAUAGUGAUUAUAUUUUAUAUAUAUUUACUUUUAUGCACUUUCAUAUUGAGUUGAUCAACAGUUUUGAAACUUUAUAGAAAACUUCAAGGUAUCACUUGUUGCGUAAGUGAUAUUUUACUAAGGGUGCAUAAUUGGAGGCCUCCUAGAUAUGUGAAAAUAAUGUUUAAAAAUCCAUCAAAUAGUAAAAACAUAAAUGAAAUAGCAUAUUGAUAUAUAUGGUAUCUUGAGUGUUGAAUUAAACAUUCUUUAGUAAAAGAAUGUACAUUUUGCACAUUGUGGGUGUGUUGGUUUCUUAUAUAUCAAUUAAGCACAAAUUAAAGAAAAAUAAUAUAUAUCACCAUAGUGUUGUAAUAUUUUGUAAAAUUUGUAAAAUUAUAUAAGCAAAAAAGUUUACCUAUCUCGUUAAAUAAAACUCAUUGAGUUGGUUCUUAAUAUUGAAGAAUUAGAGUGGUUGACUUCUUUAUUCAUUUUAUCCAACUACAAGUUGGAUUAAAGUUGUGGAAAUAGAAUGGUUGAAAAUUUGUGUUAAUGAGAAUUAAAGUUGUGGCCACAACUGAUGCCGACUAUUUUCUAGAAACAGGGACUGAUGUCCAAAACAUGUAGUAAAAUAAAAUUUUAGACAUGUUAGCAUAUGAAUUUAUUAUAUUAUAGAUUCAAUGUAACACCCCUAUCCUAUCUCUGUUGCUGGAUUAGGAUUUCAGACUAUUACUAAGAAAAAUAGAACAUUUAACUUUCCAACAGAAACAAUUAUACAAUUAAAUACCAACAUAUAUCAAUUAAAUCUAAUCAUGGCAAAUAUUACACUUAUAGACCUUGAAUCGAGCCUAUGGAGCCCUAGAAAAAAUUUAGGAACAAUUUGGGAUCAAAUCGAAACAAAUCAAAACAUUUUGAAAAAAAUAUAAAAAUUUGGGAAAACAGGGGUCACACGGUUGUAUGGCCAAGUCGUGUGACAAAGCCUACACCGCGUAAACAUUAGAAGUCAAAACACUCAACUGUGUCCCAGCCUGUGUGUCUACUCAUGUGUAUAAUCGAAAUAGGGUCACACAGCUGUGCUGCAGACUGUAAACCGUGUGUGUAUUCGAAGUUAGGUCACACGACCAUGUGACCGACCGUGCCACAAACUGUUUUGAGACACACGGUCGUGUCACAGACCAUGUGAAAUAUGCACCUAAAAUAAUAAAUAUACACGACCAUGUGUGGUGACUAUGUGUGGCACAUGGUCGUGUGGUAGCUUGUGUCUCAGGCUGUGUGCUCCAUUUUUAACCCCUAAAUUAAGUUAAUCAAGCAUCAUUUCUUGCACAGCAAGACAUACCAUAUCUAACUAAUUUUACAUGGUAAAAAUCACAUUCAGAUCACCAAAUACAUACCAAAAUUUCAUUCAUCCUAUGUCUAACCAAUAUACCAUCAAAAGGCAUCUCAAUCCAUACAUUCAUUCAACUCAAGAACAAAGUUACAAUAAAGGAACAAGUUUUAUCAUUAGUUAACCAUUCAUGCCUAAAACCACCAAUCUAAUUGACGAAAAUAUGGGCAUACUCAACAAGCAACCAUUUCAAAACAUCAUCACCAAAUCUUUAUAUACCAUUUAGGAUCAACUUAAUUAUAUCCAACACAAGUACACAUCCAAAACAAAGCACAUCACUAGAAAUACCAAAAUAACUUAACGAUUUACACAUCAACAAUAAGACACCACAUCCCAAAAUGAAAUACAAAAGCUACCGAGAUGGCUGGAUAGUGUGUGCUCCAAAACAAUUCGUCUAGUCAGUCCAUAAAACGCCAACUCAACCAAUAUAGAUAAACAAAAAAGAUAAGUUCUAAUUCUUGAUAUUCAAAUGCAAGAUCACACCACAUUAGUAUAUAUUUAUUUACAUCAUAAAUGAUACCUUCCAAAAGUCAUAACCAAUUCAUCAUCCAAAAUUUCUCAAUACAACCAUUAACAUUUAUAAAACAAAAACUUCAUAGAAACAUUUAUCAUUUAGUAGUAAUAUAACUAUCCAACAAAAUUGAACAAAUAAAUGAGUUUUAAGUCAUUUGAUGCAUAUCCCGCUGAACUAUAGUAACUAGACUCGGAUACUCAAUGAUGCAUAACAGAGGCACCAAAGUGCAAACAGAGGAAGGAAUAUGCAAUCAAAGGCAUUGAAGUGCAAACAAAUGCACCAAAGUGCAAACCCGUACAAGCGCACAUUAAAACCCUAUUGGCAUACUAAUCGUAUCCUAAUCAUUUACUAUGUUCAAUGGGGCAUUAAGAAUGGGGCAUUAUACUUAAAAUCGCAAUACCAAUAAAUCCAUCAUUUAGAGGCACUUCUUAUUUCCGUACACAUAAUAACAAUAAUUACCAUCAUCAAACAUUCAUUUUAUAUUUGUACUUAAUUACAAAUUUUAAUAAUAUAUAAGUAACUAAUGAAAUUUCCCAUAUAUACCAUUAACUAGAAAAAAAUAAUAUAAUCAUAAAGAGAUACACAUAUACAUAUUAUUACAUUAUGAACUUACCUGCAAUCCACUUCCAAAUAAUAUACAGGGACUACUCCGCAAUUUUUCUCUUUCCUCGAUUAUUGUCUUUUUGACUCGGUUCUUGAUCUAUAUAAUAAUUAAAUUUAAUUUAUUAAAUUUACAUAAUUUAAAAAUCAAUUCAAUGCAUGACACCCUUAUGUUUUCAUUAUUUUCACAUUUUCCUUAAACUUUUACAUUUCUCACAAUUUAGUCCCUAAACCCGAAAUUCCAAAAUUUAACAAAAUUUUACAAUUUUCCAUGCUAGCCGAACUUCUUUCUAAACUAGUACAAUCCCCAAUUAUUUACAAUUCACAAAAUUUCUAUGCAAAUUUUAAUUAUUUACACAUUGAUCAUUAAACUCAAAAUUAACACAAAUUCUUUUACAAAAAUAUCCUAAUCAACAUUCAAAUAUAUACAACUACCAUUAAAAAUCAUGAACACCAAAAUUCCAUUACUAACCAAUCCCUAAAACUUCAACAUUUUUAUAAUUUCAUCCUCAGGUUUAAUAGUUUAAGCUACAACGAGUUCAAAAAAUAUAAAAAUUAUUAAAUAUGUGAGAGAGAAACACUUACAUGCACCAAUUUGCUAACCGAAACUUUAAGCUCAAAAAAUGGAGUUUCUUUUUUUCUUUUUCUUUUUUGGUAGGAGAGAGUUGAGAAGAUGAUGAUACCAUAUUUUAUCUUUUGUUUCUUUUCUUUAAUUAAACUAAUUACCAAAUUAACCUUUUAAUCUGAACUAAAUUAUUAACAUAACAUGACCAUAAUUUUCCAUUAACUAACCAUAAGGUUUAUCUAUCAAUCAAGUCCAUUAUUUUAGUUUUUCUUUAAAAAUCAAGCACAUUUAACUAAUAAAAGCUACUUUAGCAUAUUUUACAAUUUAGUCUUUUUUACUAAAUUAACUAACUAGACAUUAAAAUUUCUUAUCCAAAUUUUAAUACGACUCAAAUAUAACUCUAUAAACAUAAAAUAAACAUAAAAUACUAACUCACUUGUUGGAAUUAUGGUCCUGAAAUAACCAUUUUCGAUACUACUGAAAAAUGGGAUAUUACAUUCAAUCUCUAAUUUAUGCUAAUGAAUGUGAGAGAAUAAUUUUCUUUGUAUAGUAAUACUACAACUAGAAUGUGUUUCGAUCCUAUUCUUAGAAACUGAUAGUAGAAACCCAACUUUUAAUUAGAAACCUCUUGUUUUAAAGUUCAAUGGGUAAAAGCAAGUUAUCGUUAUAUGUCUGUGAUACACUAGUAAAACUCAUUAUAGAAAAAAAAAGUUUAAUGGAAACUAGUGUUAUCCAUUGCGUAUAGAGGAUGAAUUUGAAUACUAUUAAUGAAGUUCAUUGUUUAUUGUUUAAAUGUCUAAAGCAAGGGAAACAUUAAAAGAACUCUACCUAUAUAAACAUAAGAAGUGAUGCCACUUCAACAAGUAAAGGUAGGGUCUCUCUUGUAAAUGUUUAUUAUGAACAAGAUAAGCACAUGAUCAUUUUAGUGCUAAAAGUGAACAACCUCUGAUAGAAAUAUAAAUGAAUAUUAUGUGUAGUGUAUUUCAACUUCUAAUACUAGGAGUUGUGGUUCAAUCUUCGGACACCAACGACUUAUUAGAACUUUGAAAAGCAUCCGCUAAUUGAUGGUUCAUAUUGAGAGAUAUCAUCUUAUAUGCAUAAUAUUUGUUGGAGUGAAUGGCUAUAAAGUAUGGUACCAACAUUUAAACUAAGGGUGAUUGUUAGUAGUUUAUAAUGUUGGCAGUAAAAAUAUUUUAUUAUGUAGAAAAGUCUAAUAACUUAUAAUUAUUGGCCAAAUAAUUGUGUUGUAAAGAGAAUUUUUGUAUGUAAAGUUGUCUUAUAAACUUUAUGUAAAGUUGUGUUGUAAAACAACACAAUUAUAUGAAAAGGUAUCUUAUUAAAAGAUAUAUUCAUAUUAAAGGGUAUCUCAUAAAAGAUACAUCUAUUGGAUGUCUAUAUAAAAGACUUUUCUAUUAGUCAUUUAAAUUGUUUUACUUGGAGUGUUGAGGCCUUUAUUGUAUCUUGAAGGUAUUUUAAAAUCUUAAAGAAAGUGCUCUACAUGCCUCAAAGUCGUUAUAUUUUAUAACAUUAUUUUAUUUUUCUAACUUCUAUUUUCCUAUUAUUUAUUUUUCUAACAGCCAGAAUAUAGAAAAAUUAUUAUGUUUCUAACUAUAUAUUAAAUACGAGUACUACUUGGAAGCCAGCACCCACAAACAUGAUAAAAGUUAAUUUUGAUGAGAGUUUUGACGUGGAAGCAAGAAAUGAGGAAGAGGGUAGUUAUGCAGCAUUGUGAUGGUUUUUUAGUCCGACUACGCAACCAUCCAAUUUAGGGUGCGUUCUACAUUAAGGUGAAAAAGCACUUAAAAAGAACAUUUGGUUUUUACACUUAAAAGUGUGAUGGAAAAAUACUUUUUCAUUCAAAUACAAAAAUUAAGAUAUAAAUGCUUUUGACUUUUAGCUUUUACAUUAGAAUGUGAAAAUUAUCAAAUACUAUUAUUUAUAUUAACUAUUUAAAGUGUAUAUAAAAAUUAGAUUAAUUUAUAUUUUAUAUAUCAUUAUAUUAAAUUAUUUAAAUAUUAUUUAUUAUUAUAUCUUUUAAUAAUUUAUAUAUCAUCUAUUUUACAAAUAAUUUAUAUUAAUUACUUCAAAAAUAUUUGGAACUUAUAUUUCAUGUACCAUUAUAUUAAAUUAUUUAAAUAUUACAUAACUUAAAAUGUCCUUUUCUUUAGACAUGAUAGACUUUUAACGGGAAUUUUUUGUAGUAACGGAGAACACCAAAAACUAAUGAGUACAUUUUUUCAUAGCACUUUUCUACCACUUUUCAACUACAACGGUAAUGGAGAACUAAUCCUUACUAAAGUUACCGAAGCACUAGCUUCCACUGUAGCCAUUGAAAUGGGGCUCCAAUUGGGAUUGCAACACAUUAUUAUUAAAAGAGAUGCUCUCUAAGUGGUUUCGAAGUUGAAGGAAGACAAAGAAGACCUACCAACAAUCGGACCUUGAUAGCAAAGAGUUGAAUACUUGCUAAACAGGUUCAGCAAUGUAGGUUUCAACAAAGAAAGAGGCAUGCUAAUGAGGUGGCACAUCAUCUGGCCAAACAGGGUGCAAUGCCCAAUUUCUGCCCGGGCCUAAUCAAAACAGCCCAAAGCAGAAAGCCCAAUUUUUCUAGACCUAGCCCACAACUAUUUUCAGCACCACCAUGCACCCAUUUUCUCCACCACUCUUCCACUCCAGAACACCCACGAACGGUUUCCCUCCAUGCCAUACAUACCUGCAAAAUAGAUUAAUGACUCAUAGCAGUUGACAGUAGAAAGAAAUAACAACAGGAAACGGUUUUGUACUUGGCUAUAAAGCCUUUGAAUUUUUCAUUGUUUGGUUUUUUUUUCUUUCUUUUUUUUUUCAGAGAGAUUGUACACGAAAUACAUACAAAAAUCAAUAGAAAGCAAUUCAAAGGUGAUUUAUCGCUAUUUAUUGUGUUUUUUUUUUCAAUUGGGUUUACAUACAAGUAUAAAAUAUAAGAGAGAACGAGAGGCUUACCGGAGUUAUAUCGCAUUCACGCCGUCGGUAGGACUAGCUCCGUUGGUCACGAACAGAUUUUGGGAGUGGUUGGGGGCUUGAAAGGAGCCUUUCGGCUGGAGAAUAAAGGGAGAGUGAGGGAGAUGAUAUAAUAUCCAAGGCAUUUAGGGUUUUUUUUUUUAAAUAAAAGUUAAAAAGUUUUCUUUUAAGCACAAUUUUUAAAGCGGGUUUUAGGUGAUAAGAAUGAAACAGCAUGGGGAAGGGAAAGGAAUAGCGUGUUUAACUUGGUCCACGUGCAUUUACCCCUUAAAUGGGUAAUUUUCGUUAUCAGUCCUCCUUACUUGCGUCACCCUUUAUUUGAUCCUAUUCUGUUUCUUUUAUUUUUGCCUUGAAUUUUGCGCACCGUUCCAAUUUAGUCCGAGCAUGAGUGUUGCUUUUUUGGGGUUGGGAACAUUUUCAAUUUUAGCCCUUAUACAUUCACGCGCAUUGCGCUUUGGUCCCUAUUUCAAUUUCAAUGGUUUUUUUAUUUGUUAAUUGUCCCUUUAAUUUUGCUUUUCUUCCAAUUAAGUUUUUAUUUAUUUUUUCCAUAAAAUAAGAAUAUAUUAUUUUAACAUAUAGUUUUGUUCAACAAAAUUCAUAUAUAUUUUUGUAUAUAUUAUUUUAACAAAAUAAGAAUAUAUUGUUUUCUUCAUAUGCAUAUUUAUUUGUUUUUUCUUCCAAAAUAAUUUCAUAUAUCAUUUUGUAUUUAUAUACUUUACUUAUAUUAAGUUUGCUUUAUAUCAUGUAUAUACGUAACUUAUACUAAGUUAUCUUUACUCUAAGUGUACAUUAUUGACUUCCUUUUAUUUUAUGUAAAUAUUUCCUUUUAUUUUAUUUUUUUAUGUAUAUUAUUGAUUUUAUGUUAUUUUAUGCUUGUUUAUUUUCUUCUAAGGACCCUAUUUUAAAUGGUAUAUUUUAUUUAUUUUCGUAUGCUAGUACCUUUGUUUUUUUUAUGUAUAAAUUUUCAUUUCAAGUAUUAUUUAUUUAGAUUGACAAAUACUAUGCUAUGUAUUACUUUUUUUAUAUAUAUACAUUAUGUGUCUUGAAAUAUCGUUUAUAUAUUAUUAUGUCGUACAUUAUUUUUAUUUUUAUUAUUUUUUGACCUAUUCCAGACUGUCAUAUAUGUUACCUUAAGAUUUUUAUACAUUUGUUUGAUUGCAUACUAACGAUUCCAAAUUGCAUUUCUUCUAUAUUAUCUAUAUUAUUUGUUAAAACUUGCCACAUACUUUUAUCUCAUGUACAAAACUAAGCUUGUACACAUGUUAUUGCAUCAUGAUCUUUAAAUUCCAACUCUUUGCCCAACAUCAAUCGUUUUUUAUCCCCAAGCAAACCAAACAAGUAUUUUUAAUUCGGUUUUUAUAACUGUUAAUUUAAAAAUUUCCCAAAACAAAGGCAAUGUUUGAUGUUUGAAAUUUUGGAAAUCGUGCCCUAACGUACUGGGUUUCGAUUUUUCGUUUAUCCAAAAUAAUCAAGUAUCCCCUUUAAAGUUUCGUAUGUGUUUUCUAAACUUCAAAACAAGGCAAUGUUCUAUGUUUUGGAAAUCCGAGAAAUCGUGCCCUAACGUGUUGGAUUUCAAUUUUUCGUUGGACCAAAUGAUCGAGUAUCCUUUUGAAAUUUCAAAUAUAUGAGCUUUUGGAAAUUAAGACUCGGUUGUGGUUUCGAGGGUUUAGAAAGUUAUGUCUUAACGUGCUGGAUGUGAUAUUUUAUUCCUUCAUAACAAAAGAAUUCUUAAUGACCAAUUUGAGUUAUUCAAAUAUUUUAAAAGAAAUAGUAUUUCAAAAUAUCUUUUAAAUUUUAGACAUAAGGACAUUGAUUAAUCAAUUAGGUACCAAUUUUGGGCGUCACGAGGGUGCUAGCCCUUCCUCGUGCGUAACCGACUCCCGAACCCUUUUUUCUCGACUUACGUAGACCUGAAAUUAUUGUUUUAAUAAAUCAAAAUGUUUUAUUAAAAUGAUCAAUUUCAAGGUGAUCCGAUCCCACCUCAGAAGGGAUCGGUGGCGACUCCAAACUUUGAUUUUUCAAAGUCGAUCCCCGUUUUUUUCAAACUUUUAGAAAAUGGUUUCGACACAAGGCCUUAAUUGUUUUCCAUCUUUUGUUCAUAUGUUUGUUUUGAAAAGGUAAAACAAAUCCUCACCUAUUGAUGUUAGAACGGUUGAAUUGCUAAAAGCAUGCUGCGUGCAUAACCAUGCUUUAGGUUAGGCUUCAAAUCAAAUAAAUUUUAAAUUAUUUUUAUUUGAAUUUAAUUAUAAAAAUAUAUUAAUAUCAAUAUAAAAUUAUAUACAAUUUUAAGAUAUUUUAUUUUUCAAUAAUAAAACGAAUCAUCUACCAACCCUAAUUCUUCAGUUUUCUUUUUAAUUAGAUGAUAACUCAAGCCAAGCUAACCAAUAAACACCCAAAAUCUACCAUCAUUUUCAUUUUUUUUUCUUUUGUCACAAAGUAGACAGAAGAUUCGGUUUGGAUAAGCUCUACGUUAUUAAGUCAAAAGCUGAAGUAAUUUUAAUCAUAAAUUGUUUUAUUUGUUUAUAAUGCAAAACAAUGACCCAAUUAAUACAAUAAAGCUUUAACUUUGUGGGAAUUUUCAGUCCAAAAAAAAAAAAACAAUUUGUGGAAAUUUUAGAGCAGUUGACCAUUUCUUCCGAAUUAGUUUUCUCACUUCUUGUCCAUAUUCCAUGUAUAUUAUUUCAAGAAAUUAGGUUUAGAAAAUUGCAUAAUUCAACCAUUGAACUAAUAAAUAUUAAAGAAAAAUUGGGUGGCAAAAAUAUCUUAUUAAAAGCGAAUCAUAUACUAUUAAUAGAUUUUAUGAUUAAAUUAGUUUCACGUGUUAACGGGAUAUUAACUUGAUUUAGUAAAUUAUAAAAAUGUCUUUUAAUGUUUAAAAUAAAUUAUAUUAUUUGAAGAUAUUUUAAUUUUUUUAUUAAAAAAGGAUGAUGUCUCAAAUUAACUCACAAUCUAAUUUAAUUUUUUAUUUUAAUAUCGUAAAUGUUUCAUGUUUUAUUAUUAAUUUGUUUCAAAUUAUACAUUUCAUUAUUUAUUUUAUGUUAUUUUUAAACAUAUUUGUGUUCUAAAUACCAAAUUUUCACUUAAGGGUAUCAGAGACGAAUCUAGAGAGGCUAGUAGGGGCCCCGGUCUCCUUAAAAUGAAAAUUAUUAUUUAAGCCCUUUAGAAAAUUUUAAAAUUUUAAAUUAGUAAAUGUAAAAUUGCACUUUGACCCCCUAAAAUUAUAAAAAUUUAAUUUAAUCUUUUAAAAAUUAUAAAGAUAUAAACUAGUAAAAAUUAAAAUUUCAUUUCGAUCCUCCCUAAAACAUAUUUUUGGCUUCACCUAAAGGGUAUGACUAGUAUGAAUAAUUUUCUUUGGAAGUCUUAAACAAACAGGAGUUAAGUAAAAAGGAGUUUUCAUACAUACAUAUUCGGCGUUGAUGUUUCCCUUUCGAAAAUUUAAAUUAAGACAUAGGAAAAGAAACUAAAAUUGAGCUUAAUUUAUGCAGUUGGGUUCAAAAUUUAAUAUUUAAAUAUAAAAAUUCUAAUAAUUCGAUCUGGUCCGUUUCAUCUAGCAGACUAAUAAUAAAUCUUAAAACAUAUUAUAUUUUAAUUUUAAUAAAACCAAAACUGAUACAUUUGACCUACAUCUACAUGUGAUCUAUGCUUAAUUAAAUUAGUCUAAAUUAGACGAGAUCUUGAUUAGGAGUCAUUUAUUUAUAUUAUAAGUCCCUGAAACAUGCAAAACUUACAUUUAAAAAUUAAUAUUUUUACGUUGUUGUUAGAAUAUAGGGUUUGUUAAUGUUUUCGUGUGAAGUCAGCUGUUGACAUUACCAACCAGAUAAUGAAAAGGGAACAUGGCAAUUAUUCCAUCCUAAUUGUCACACACACACACACACCUAAUUAAGUUAAUCCAAAAAUUACCUAACGUUUAGCAUUUCAAUGGUAGAGUCAGCUCUUUCUUCUAGUCUAUCAAAAAAAAAAAAUCAAUUUAACCCCUAACUCUUGGAUGGAAAAGUUUUUGCUAUGAACUUGUUGAAGUGAAUCUAAUGUGAUAUAAACACAUCACAAUCCAUGUGUGUAAUUAAAAAUAAUAGAGAGAGAUUGAAUAAUUUAAAGGGAAAAAAAAAGAAUUUACUCCCUCCACUAACAGGUAACUCUUGCAGCUUGAAUCUACAACGUAUGUAUGAAAGUGAACACCUUUAAUUAAUGAAUAAAUACUAAAGUUCUAGGUUUAGAAUUAAUUAAAUAUCAAUACAAAAAGUUAAUUACUUUUUGAAAUAAGGAUAAAUCGGUUUUUGAGGUUUGAUAAUUUUUCACAUAUCGAGGUUUGAAUUUUUUUAUCUUAAGUUCUAAACUUGACAAUAGUUCUCAAGAUGUGAAGGUUUUUUUUUUAUCCAAAUUAGGCUAUGAACUUAGAUAGAAAUCUUAAAAUUCAACCCUAAUGUAGGUAUAAUUGUCAAGUUAAAAAAAAUUCAAAUCUUAAUAGAAGAAUAAUCUACUAAUUGGUAACCCUAAUAUAAAAACAAUUGUUAAGUUGAAAACUUAAUUUUUUUUAAAAAUUCAAACCCUUAUUAACUUUAGGAUUUAACCCUUUGAAAUAUUGCGUUAAUUAAUAAGUGUAAGAAUUAUUUUGUGUUAAUGAUUAAAUAAAUAUUUAAGUGGAGAUCAAGUUUUACCUCAUUUGUCAAUUGUCAGGUGAAGAAUAUAUACCCUAAAGGCCUAUCAAAAACGGACCUAUCUCUAUAUAUCUUUACUAAUUUACUAUUCAUUUUUAAUGAAAAGCAAUAAAUUAAUGAAAACGCUAUAAAACGAAAACUACAUGAAUAAAUUAUAUGUGUAAAAUUGAAAUAUUUCGUGACGACAUUAUUGAAAAAAAUAAUCAUUAACCUUAAAUAUAAACAAUUAUGACAUUUCUAUAAAAUAUCAUUUAAUAUAUUGCAUCAAAGUUUUAAAAAAUGUUAUGUGUAUACUUUUACCUCGUAUAAAAAAGUCUUUCAUUUCUCAAUUCUUAUGGCAUAGUAAAUUUAUUAUUAAUUUUUAAAAAAAAUGGUUAUUAUUUGUGUAUUAAAUAAUUAUUGGGAUAAAUUUUAAAGUUGUACAUGGAUUUUGGUUACAUGUUAAUUAUAAACAUUAACUUUGAUUUUAUAUAAUUUUAUAUAUGAAAUUUUAAUUUGAUCCAAUUCUCAUAAAUUAUUAACAUAAUUAUUGAUAUAAUAUCAUUUUAUGUUUAUAUGCUAUAUACAGAAAUAAUUAUAUUUAUUCAAUAUAAAAAUUAAUUGAUGUAUUUAUUUCUUUAAACGUAUAUGAUUGAAUCAAAAUUAAAACAUCAUGUAUACAUUUGAACCAUAACUAAAAUUUUACAUAUAUAAUUAUACAAAAUUACAAUUCAUAUACGUAAUAAACUAAAAUUCAAUUUUUUUAUAAAAUUAACCUAAAAAAUUUAAUUAAUUACAUAAAUGACCCUUUUUUUUAUUAAACACGUAAAUGACCUAAAAUCUACCGUGAAAAUUGGUGGAAGCAAAGAGUUUGGCACCACCAACAUGCCACGUCAGCAACCAAGAUAAAAAAAAUCAACUUUUUGGUAGAGCCAUGCAUAAUAGUGCUACUUGUAUAAAUAUCAGGAAAAUACUAUAAUUUCUAAAAAAUAAGGGACUUUAAUAAAAAAAAAUUCUAUUUUCUGGUGGAGCCAAAUAAAUUGGCGCCACCAGUUUCCAAUGUGAUUUUUUUUAAAGUUUUCUAAAAUUUUAAAUAUAUUAAAAAAUGUUAAGUAUAAUUAAUUUUAAAAGUUUAAUAUAUUUAAAAAUUUAAUAUACUUAAUAUAUAUUUUUAAUAGGUAAAGAAAAAAAUGAUUUUUUAAUAUAUUUAAAAUUUUAAAAAACUUAAAAAAUUUAAAUACUUUAAAAAAUAUUAAGUAUAACUAAUUUUAAAAUUUUAAUAUAUUUAAUAUAUUUUUAAAAUAUUUUUAAAAUUUUUAAUAUAUUUAAAUUUUUUAAAGUUUUUUAAAAUUUUAAAUAUAUUAAAAAAAAUUUCCUCAUUACCUAUUAAAAAUAUAUUAAAUAUAUUAAAAUUUUAACAUAUAUUUUUAAAAUAUAUAUUAAAUAUAUUAAAAUUUUAAAAUUAGUUAUACUUAACAUUUUUUUAAUAUAUUUAAUUUUUUACUAUUUUUUAAAAAUUUUAAAUAUAUUAAGAAAAUAUUUUUUAUAUUUACCUAUUAAAAAUAUAUUUUAAGUAUAUUAAAUUUUUAAAUAUAUUAAACUUUUAAAAAUAAUUAUACUUAACAUUUUUUAAUAUAUUUAAAAUUUUAGAAAACUUUAAAAAAAAUUACAUUUGAAACUGAUUGGCUCCACCAGAAAAUAGAAAAUUUUUAUUAAAGUCCCCCCAUUUUUUAGAAAUUAUAAUAUUUUUUUGAUAUUUAUACAAGUGGCGCCAUUCUACAUGGCUCUAUCAAAAAGUUGAUUUUUUUUAUCCUGGUUGCUGACGUGGCAUAUUGGUGGAGCUAAACUCUUUACCUCCACCAAUUUUCACAGAAAAUUUUAAGUUAUUUAUGUGUUUAAUCAAAAAAAUAGAUCAUUUAUAUAAUUAAUUAAAUUUUUUAAAUUAAUUUUAUAAAAAAAACCCUAAAAUUCAUAUAUAUAACUGUAAGAUUUAUGUCCACAAUUAUCUAAAGCUAAUCGGUGAUAAUUACUAUGGAAAUUCAAUGUACUUAACUAAUUGAUUGAUAGGAACAAGCAUGAUGAAAUCCAUGAUUGGGAAGAGAGAGAAUUCAAAAACUGAACGCCCCAUUAAUCCAUGCGAAUAAACUUUUUCGGUAUACAUCAUAAUUCAUUUAAUUUUAUCAUUAUCUCUAUGCUAUAAUUAUGUUUAAACUAAAAUACUUGAGACAUUAAUAGUUUGUGUUAUAUAAAUUAUGAUAUCCAUAUAUCCAUAUUAUAUAUAUAUUUUUAUAUUAUGAAUGCAUUUAAAAAAAAAUUAUGAAAAAUGUAGAGUCCGCAAAUAAAAAAUGGCUUACAAAUUAACAGAAAACCAAUUUUAUUUCUUGUAAAUUGAUUUACCAUAUUAAAAAGUGUAAAUCUUUUUUUAAAUUUAUUUACGAGUAAUUUUAUUUUUAUAAAAAUUAAUUUUAGCCAAGCCUAAUAUUAUUUUAUUAAUAAUAUUAUUUUUAUUUUUAUUUUUAAACAAUUUAAAAUUAUUAAUAUCAAAUAUUAUAAUGUUGAAUCCUAGUAACAUACAUAUUAAAUUAUUUAUAUUAUGUUAUAUUACAAUUUUAUUUUAAUAAUAAAUUUUAACAACAAUAAUUUUAAAUUUUAAAUCGUAUUUUUAAUAUAUUAUUGAAAAAUAUUUAUAUUAAUAUUUUAAUAAUAAAUAUAUAUUAAAAUUUAUAAAUAUUUAAUAAUAAAUUUUUUAUAGUAUAAAAUAUGAAUAUUUUAAUUAUAUAGAUAUGAGUAUUUGUUUAAAUCAUGCUUAAGUUCAUUUAUCUCCCAACUCUAAUGUGUCAUUAUACACUGUCAUAUAUAUAAUAUAUGUAAUUUAAGCAUUAUUUAUUAUUAAAUUUAUAUAUGAUAUUAAUUAUAAUAAAAUAUUAUCUUAUUAUAAAAGAAAUUCCAAUUGUCAAAAAGAAAUGUUACUCUAAUAUUUUGUAAUAAGUAUAUUUAUAUUGUAUUUGUUUCACUAAUAACAAAUUUAAAAUGAUUUUAGAAAAAAAUAUCAAAAAAUAAAAAAUAUUUUAAUCAAAAUAAUUCAAAUAAAAAAAACUAAACUUUUCCAUGAAAUCAAUCCAAUUUUAAGAAAACAUUAAAAUUGUUUUAGGUGAAACAAAAGGAACCUAUAUUUUAUAUAGUAUUUGAAAAGUUGUUGUAUCUAGAAUUAUUAUCUUUAAUUUUUUUUAGGUCUAUUUCUAAUUUUCAAAAAUUGAGAAGUUAAUUUCUCUAUUUUACUUUAUCAGUCCGUGCUUAUUUUUUAUUAAUUUGUUGUGUAUAAAUGGUUAAACUAUUGAUUUUUGUUAAUUACUAGCAUGUAAAUUGUUAAACUACUUGUUCCCAAGUCAACAGUAAAGCUUAAUAGUAUUAUCAAUUUGGAAUAAUUUCUGAGAUUUUUCUUUUAUUUUGCGUGAUUAAGAUAUUUUUCAUGUACGGUUUAAGGUUUAUGAAGACUAAUCCUUUCGAGUUUAUAACUACCCUUUUUAAUAAUGUCGUCUUUAAAAUUCGAGUUCUCUUUCUUGUAAGUACAAUAUGCCUUACAUUUAUAACUAAUACUUCUUAUUUUUGUAAAAUAUAAGAAUCAAAUUAUGUAGUAAGAUUAAUUUCUAGAUUUUUUAAAUUUAAAAUUUAACAUUUAAAAUAUUAUCAAUCACAUCACACACAAAACCAAAGAGCAAGAGAAUCUAAAAAACACGUGGACCAUUAAUUUAGGAAUGGACAGAAACUCAUGCAAAAUGGUUGGAAAACACGUACAGGAUUAUAUAUACUAAUCAUUUUUAUUAUUAAGCAGAAUUGGAAAUAAAUAAAUACGGGCGAAACCACUGAAUAAUACAGCAUUGAAAUGCAAUUUGUCUACAUCAUUAUUGUUCUUCACUUCAAACGCGGAGACUAGUCUAGGGUCCCAAUCUUUUGCUUUAUCUCUCUAGAUAUAUCCUUUUCAAACUAUCUUUUUGUAGCUUUAUUUGCAUCACAGCAUUAUCUUUUCCUGCAAACAACUGUUUAAAGAUUAAAACAUGCAAAACAUUCUGAAAUAAUGCACCCUGACCAGAUGACAAAAAAAAAAGAGGAUUCUAAUGUAUCUUACCUUGGAUUGGAGCACGGUCAAAGCCGUGGCUUAGUAGUGGUGAGGAGGAGGGGGUGAAGCGUAGACAUAAUGGGGUGGGGGUGGAGGAGGAGACUUGUAUUUGUAAACUGGAGGAGGAGGUGGUGGAGACUUGUACUUGUAAGGGUGCUUGGGGGGUGAUGGUGGGGGUGGUGGGGGUGACUUGUACUUGUAGGGGUGCUUGGGUGGUGACGGUGGGGGUGGGGACUUGUACUUGUAAGGGUGCUUGGGGGGUGAUGGUGGUGGUGGUGGAGGUGACUUGUACUUGUAGGGGUGCUUGGGUGGUGACGGUGGUGGUGGUGGGGGGGACUUGUACUUGUAGGGAUGCUUUGGUGGGGAUGGUGGUGGUGGUGGUGGGGACUUGUACUUGUAGGGAUGCUUAGGUGGGGAUGGUGGUGGUGGUGGAGACUUGUAUUUGUAAGGAUGCUUUGGUGGUGAUGUUGGUGGAGGUGGUGGGGACUUGUACUUGUAAGGGUGCUUGGGUGGUGAUGGAGGUGGAGGUGGUGGAGACUUAUACUUGUAAACUGGAGGUGGUGGGGGUGGAGACUUGUACUUGUAGGGGUGCUUGGGUGAUGAUGGAGGUGGAGGUGGUGGAGACUUAUACUUGUAAACUGGAGGUGGUGGGGGUGGAGACUUGUACUUGUAAGGGUGCUUGGGUGGUGAUGGUGGGGGUGGGGACUUGUACUUGUAGGGGUGUUUAGGUGGUGAUGGUGGUGGUGGUGGUGGGGACUUGUACUUGUAAGGAUGCUUGGGUGGUGAUGGUGGUGGAGGUGGAGGAGACUUGUACUUGUAAGGAUGCUUGGGUGGUGAUGGUGGUGGAGGUGGUGGAGACUUAUACUUGUAAACAGGAGUUGGUGGGGGAGGAGAUUUGUACUUGUAAGGUUUCUUGUGUGGUGGUGGUGGAGGAGAGUAGACCGGAGGAGGCGGUGGGGGAGACUUGUAAUGGUAGGGUGGUGGUGGGUAUUUCUUAGGAG
rnacentral:lncRNA from 1 species